rnacentral:lncRNA from 1 species
CCUCUAAGACUUAGGAGGCGGAGCUAAAUGAAAGCUUCCCUUAUAAGUAAACAUGAGUUGGUUGAGCUAUGAGUAAAUUCUAAAGGCCCAUAAAAAGAAGGAAAGGGAAAAGGUGACAUUACACCCAUAAAAUUGAAGUUGUGAGAUGGUAAUAAUUAUAAUCCAAAUUGAUAUCAGUAAUCUAAAUUGGAAUUUUUGAUCCACCAUUUGAAUAAUAUCUUUACUUUUUAAGUUGCAAAUCCACUUUAUUUCUAUAAUUAAUUGAUAUAUCUAUAUCCCUAAGGAUAAAUAUCAAAUUAUGCCUUAAUGGAAUUACCAUAAUCAUGGAUUAAACUUGAUCAUUAAUCUUAAGAGAUUACUCAAGAUGAUAUAAUUAUCUCAAAUAUUGAGAUAUCAUGGUAUUCAUGUUAAAGAUAGAUUUUACUACAUAUUGAAAUAAAUAAUCAUUCAUAUCAGCGAUAAUGUAUUAUUACUUUAUGAACUCACUCGUGCACAAACUCAAAGAAAUUACUAAUUCAAUAAUAUUUUAAUGAUCUUCCAAGAUUAAGUACACAUGUAACAUAUACUUUAAAGAAAAUAUCAAUGUUUUUAUAAUCGGACUAGUCAUCGAACUGGAAAAGUUACAAGUUCACUGAUUGAACCAAUAGUUGAACCCGUAAUGUCAUAAAUAUAUAUUUUAUAUACUAUUAAAAUUAAAAAUAAUUAUAAAAAUAAAAAUAAUAAAUUUUACCAAUUCAUCAUAUAUCAUAUUUCUAAUACAAUAGUAGAUGUUAUGUGUUCAUAAUAUAAAUCAAUACAUUACUUUUAUCAAACCAUUAUUAUCCUAUAUCCACAAAUGAGCAAUGAACUAACAAUGGUAAAAUUAUUUGAAAAUCAGAAAAUUAGUUUCAAAUCAUAAGUUUAGAUUAAAAUCAAAAUUUUAAUUUAAAAUUAGAAAUUUUAAAUUUUAUUUUUAAAUCAUAAACUUAUUUUAAAAUUAGAAAUUUAUUUAUUUAAAAUAUGAGGACACGAUUAUUUUCAAAAAUUUAUUUAACGUCAUAAUGUUCAUUAAUUUAGAUUAAAAUCACAAAUUUUAAAAAUCAUAAGUUAUAAAAAUUACAAAUAUAAAAAUUAAGAUAAAUAAGGAAAUAAAGUAAUAGAGUAAAAAGAAAUAAAGAAAAUCUGAAGAUGGACUUGUGGCCGAUGGGAUGCCAUCCUCGUCGACCGACGGUGUCGGGUUGGCUGGGCUGGAAGUGGGAGUUUGAAGGGAGCAGCAUGCAACUUGGAGAGAGGAGGAACAUGCUAGAAGAAGAAAGGGAAGGCAGAAAACAAAAAGAAAAAAACCCUUUUGAAUCGUUUGGUUCAUAAAAACCGAUCGGGUCAGUCGAUUCACCUGAUUGAUCAUCAAUUUCAACGGUUCGAGACCGGUUUAAAGGCUGACUAGUUCAAAUGGGUGAACCGGACUAGAAGGUGAUGAGUCAGCGGUCAAACCGAUCGAACUGACCGAUCCAAUUCGAUUUUUAAAAUAUUGAAAAAUGCAUAUAAAAGUAAUUGUAUUGAUGCCAUACAUCUCUAUAGGUCUAGUUUAAUAUAUAAUAUACAUGCACUGACAUAAAUCCAUCGUAGAAUUCAAUUCCAAUUAUCAAGGUAAGUCAUUUCACUAUGUGAAAGAUGCUCAUCAUGAAUACCUUACCAAAUCAUAAACAUCACAUGGUUAAAAUCUUUUAUAUACCCAAAUCAUAUUCAAUGUAUGAUCAUACCGAAUGAAAACAAGUUAAAGCAUCCAUAAAGAUACAUGCAAAUUAAAUUAUAAUGAUAGAAAAAGUCUUCCUUUCUUGGAGUAAUUCCAUCAUAUUAUAAAUACUUCAAUAGAUUCAACAACUUGACUAAGCGAAUGGUCCAACCCUGGAGAUUCACACAAUAAGUCUUAGUAAAAUAAAAAUAAAAUAAUGUUUACAAGAAACAUUACAUGUGCCACCACUGAACCUCAAAAUGCUUAAAAAAUUGAUUUACCUUGACUGUACCCCUCCACCUGAUUUCUGAUUUUGGUUAACUCAUGAAAAUUCACAUGCAAAAGAUCCAAAUAUACUUUUUAACUCAUUGUGAAAUGAUACUGCUACUCCUUACAGAAAUGGAUCUGCAUCUUGGAUUCUUGCAUCAUUACAUCUCAUGGCAUUUGUCUCUUUUAACACAGCUCUCACUAGAAUAAGAGUAUGACUGAAAUAAAAAUGAUAAAGAUCAUACUGUAUACUGAAAGUGAGUUUGAAGAUGCUUGAGAAUACCAAAGAGGGGGGUCAGAAGAUAGCCAUAAUGUUUUAUAUAUAUAUAUAUAUUAUGAGUCUUUUCAAUUUUAUUGAAAAAGCUAAAGGCCAAAAGAUACUUGGGAGAUUGUUGGGUUCAAAGACAAAAUAUGCUUUGGAGAGGAACAUCUUCUUUCUUUUCACCCUAGGAAAGACAACAAUAUGGGUCAGCCUCUCUGCAAAGCAAUAGAAAAUUCAUUGAUUCUUGUGUACUUAAAAGGAGUUGGAAAGAGCAAUUUGAUAUAUGCUUUUCUUGUGUGCAUGUGCAUCAAGUCUAAACUAUGCUUUUCACAUAUUUUACAUGCAUAGACCUAGCUUCAUUACUGUAUAUAGAUUGAGUUACAGCAACUAUGCUUUGUCUCUUCAAUAAUUCAGGCCAUAUCUUCUAUGAAGAAAAUACAGCUUAAUUUCUUUACUUUUUGUUUAAAUCUUUUUGUCUCCUAUUCAUUUCUCAAUUAUGCUGUCUAGGCAUGUGAAGUAGUGGGUUGAGUCUUUUGAUGACCCCAGUAGGCUAAUAAGCAUUUGGCAGCUCACUCCAUUGCAUUUGGCUGGUUCAUAUCUUGUUGUCUGUUUGUAUGGAAAAGGAUAAUACAACUGGAGGUGGGACUUCAACUUUUGGGAAGACUUCUGUGAAAAAAAUGCAUGAUUGCUAGACUUCGAAUUUCAUUUGUUUUGGGCAGGAGGGUUCAAUGAAAUUAGCAAUGCAGAAGACCAUGUCAUUUGUUGAAUAUCAUUGUGUUUCUGCAAUUGUAACAACUGGUGGCUUUAAUCUCCAAGCUUAAUUGUCUGUUAUAUAUGAUAGUAACUAUUGGUAAAGGUCUGAAAAAUUAUAGCUUAUGGAUGCUUUCUGUUAUCUGAGAAUGUUUUAUCAUUGAAAACAGAAGAUAAAAGAAAUGUAAUUCAAGAACCGGUUUCUUUAUUCAUUGCUACUAACGAAAUAUCAAAGCAUGUUGAUGAAUUCUUGAUAAUAAUUUACAACACUAUCAAAUGGAAAGAUAAACAAUGAGCAAGCUUUGGAAUGGAUGUAGGUCUUGAAAAUGGUUGAAGAGAACUCAGCAGCUAUUCUGUUAGCAUCACUGUGGCUACCACAGGAGCGCAUGCCCCAUCCAAUGGUCGAUGAGACUCUUUUAUUACAUCUCUAUUAUCAACCGAAGUCGAAGUCUUGAGUAGUUGGAAGAUGUUCAGUAUAACCUCUUCAAUCAGCCUCAACAUUAUCAUGCUGGAUACCAAUCAAGUUGGAGACUGACACCUACAGAAGAAAACUUACAUGAGAUUGUGUCCUCACCAUUGUAGGAAGAUCAUCUAUGAACAAUGUAAAAAUAUCAUCCAAAUCUAAUUUCAUCCGAAUGUUUUGGCUAUACAUAUAUGUCAAUGCCAAAAUUCUUGGUUGAAUGAUUUUUUUUUUUUGCUUCAGCUGGAGCUUUUAGGAUAGUGUAAGGUUUUGGGUGAUCUGUAAAAACAGCAAGCUAGAAACUUGAUGGAAGCUUAUUGCUACUUUACUAAAUUCAAGUAGAGGCUACAAGAAAUGUGAAGAUACCUAGUACUCUUGCCUUUUCACAUUCCAUCUUGUUUUCCGAAUCAGUAAGCUGCUUAGAAGGCCUACUUCUCGUCCACCUGCCUUUUCUGUUUCUUCAGUAACUGGAGUUUGGAGAACUUUAAAGCAUUUUGGUAAUUCAACUAUUCAAUCUUUUGCUCCCAUUUAUCAUUUCCUUGUAUAGAUGUUACAAUUUUAAUCUACCAAUAAUCCCCGCACGAGCAUACUCCAUCAACAAAGUGGUGAAACCUAUAAUUAUCUCUCAUUAUGAUGUCUCUCUUUUCCACCUUGGAUAUAAACUUUGUUGCAGAGUGGCAGUCUCCACACACCCUCAAGUUUUUUAUUAUUCUCAAAGGGGUUCCAGCAGUUGUGCUAAUCAAGCCAAAAGCUAGAGCAAUCUUCUCGCUAUGCCCACACAGGCUGAACUCCUUUUCAUCUUCAUCAACAUCCUGCAGCACAAAGUUCGUGUCAGGGACAUACCCGAUUUCUUUUAUAUCAAAAUACAAGCUUUCCAUCUUUGCUGAUAUUUGCUCCAUCAAUGGAUGUGAAGUAUCCCCAACAACGAAGCUAUGCAAUUUUCUCUUCACUUCAAUCCAACUGCAACCUGGAGGUUUUGUCACUCCUCGCUCCUUCAUCAAACAGCGUAUUUUAGCUGCAUCCUCCCAUCUUCCUGCUGCAGAGUAAAUAUUGGCCAUGAGUACAUAGUUCCCAGAACUUUGGGGCUCUAGUUCAAACAGAUACCGAGCAGCAUAUUCUGCAAGAUCGGGGUUGCAAUGGAUCCUACAAGCACCCAAUAAAGACCCCCAGACUGCUGCAUUGGGCUCAAAAGGCAUCUUCUCAAUGAACUCCAAUGUUUCAUUGAAUUGACCUGCUCUUGACAGUAGAUCAACCAUACAAGCAUAUUGCUCCACAGCAGGGUCCAUAGCGUACUCGGUUUUCAUCAUUUUAAAAUACUUCCAUCCUUCCUCUAUUAAUCCUGAGUGACUACAAGCUGAUAAAAGAUUUGUGAAGGUAAUAUGAUUUGGCUUUAGUCCCAUAGUUCUGAACUGCUGGAAAAGAUUUACAGCAUCCAUCCCAAAGCCAUGCAUUCCAUAGACUGAGAUCAUCACAUUCCAAGAGACAAGAUCUCUCUGCGGCAUUAAAUCAAAUAUUCUUCGACUUUUUUGGAUGGAUCCACAGCGUCCAUACAUGUCAAUAAGGGAGUUCAAUAUAAAAUUACAUGUAUCAAGCCCACACCUGAUAAUAAACUGGUGGAUCUCUUUGCCUUGGCGCAAGGCAGCUAACUUUGAACAAGCUGGGAGGGCUGAAACCAUUGUCACUGUGUUCACUUCCACAUUACUUAAAUUCAUCUCUCUUAACAAGUCUAAAGCAUUAACACUUCUCCCACUUUGUGCACAGGCAGAAAUAAUUGAAUUCCAUACAACUACAUCUCUUGUAGAAAGUUCACUGAACACAGAACAGGCAACUUCCAGAGAAUCACAUCCUGAGUACAUUGAUAUAAGAGCACUCCCAACACCUGUUGACAGUUCAAUAUGAUUCCGAAGAACAUAACCAUGAAUCUCCUUCCCUAGCUUCAAAUUUCUUACUUGGCCACAAGCAGCUAGAGCUCCUGAUAUAGUUGUUGUGUUGGGAUCCAUACCCAUACUGUGCAUCCUCUGAAAGAAUUCAAGAGCUGCCUUCCCAUCCCCAUACUGUGUAAACCCAGUAACUAAUCCAUUCCAUGUAAUAAUGUCGGGUUCAAUGCCUUGGAACUUCAUCUCACUAAGAAGUUCAAUGGCUUCUUCAUGACUACCUCUAAGGGCAUAACCAGCCAGCAUCGCGUUCCAUGAGACCAAAUCCGUUUGUUUGAUCAUACCAAAUUUUCUACGUGCAACCUCCACGGAUCGGCAUUUAGCAUAGUAGUCGACCAAUGAGUUACCUACCAAUAAAUCUGAAUCCAACUCUUCCACCUUUAUACAAUAGCCAUGGAUCUCUCUGCCAUGUCUAAGCAAAGACAAGUUGGUGCAUGCUGAGACAGCACUUGCAAUGGUAAUCGAGUUUGGUUUUACUCCUUCAAGAACCAUUUUCCUGAAAACACUCAGUGCUUCAAAAUCAUAACCAUUCUGCUCACUUCCUGCUAUUAAUGCAGUCCAGGAAACCACAUUAGGUUUGAAAUCUUUCAAACCACCCAUCUCAAGAAAAUAUUUGGAAGCCUCCUCAAAUUGCCCACUCUGAGCAUAACCAGAAAUGAUUGCAUUCCAUGUUACUUGGUCAGGCUUCACACCUGAAAGCUUCAUGUCACUGAUACACUUCAAAGCUUUCUUGAACUCACCUUUUGAUGUAUAGCCUGAAACCAUUAUGUUCCACAUAAAAACAUCCUUAAAUUCAAUCUCUUCAAAGAACCGCCUUGCAAUAUCCAUUCUCCCACAUUUUAUAAACAUAUCAAGGAUAGACCCUUUAACACAGGAGUUCCCCUCAAAUCCUAUACUCAACAUGUAAUCAUAAACAUCUUUCCCAACCCGAUAAUUCUUCAACUCCGAGCAUGCUUUGAAAACCUUAGGAAAGACAAAAUGAUCAGGCCGAACUCCUUCAUUGACCAUCAAAUAAAACAACUUAAUUGUCUCCUCAUAAUCCCCCAAUCCACAGUACAUUUCCAUUAUAGCUGUCCAACUAAAAACAUUUCGCUCAGACAUUUUAUCAAACAUCCUGCGUGCAUCCUCCACACAUCCAGUCUGACAGUAAACCUCCAAGAGCCGACUACCAAGAAAUUCACACACGUCAACACCAUUAACAACCAACUGAGCAUGAACUUGAAAACCCAGUCGCAAAUUAUAGAGUUUUCGACAUUUCUGAAGAAUUGAAGCAUAGAUUUCAAUACACUCAUCCGGAUUGGUUAAAUCCAUUGAACUCAAGAGCAUAGCAGCAUUGUUUAACACCCCAUUUCUAUGAACUGAACCACCUCCACUGAACCCAGUAAUCCUCUGACGGGCAUUGGUCAGUUUUCGUAAAUUUUGAGACUUUGUAUUGGUUGAAGCUACUAUGCAACAGUUUCUGGUUGGAAGAGUCUGUAAUGGAGAGGUUCCUUUGGGUUGUAUUGCAAAAUUGGAAUUGAGGGCAAAUGGGCUUGUGAUAAUCUCCAUUGUCAGCUCUGGCAUGAUGAAGAAUUCAUGGCAGAUUUUAUUGAUUUACAUCAAAUGGUUGAGAUUAUUGAAUGAUUGUUGGAAAUGGUUGGAAAUGAAAUUAUUGGAAUGCUUAUAAUAUCAUCCACAAAUAAAACUAAAUGUAUAGAAUUAUUUAUUAAAUAUAAUUUAAAAUGAAAAAAAAAAAAGACAAAAAAUGUCUAUGCUAUUUUUUAAAAUAAACUUAUCUUAAAAUUUAAUUUUUAACAUAUUAAUUCGAAAAAAUAAAUUCUUAAUAAAAUAAAAUAUAAGAAAAUAAAUAAUAUCUUAUUUUUAAAAAUAAUUAGUACUAGUUAAUUUUUAAGAUAAAUUUCAAAAUUAAUAGAAACAUUUUUUUUUAAAUAUUUAAUUUAUAUAACAUGAUAUUUAUACCAAUAAAUAUAGUAAUAUAUACCACUUACAUAUAGCAAUAAUAGCAUACCAAUAAAUAUCAUAUAGAAAUAAUUUAAUAUAUGUAAGUGGUAUAUAAUAUCACACACACACACACACACAUAUAUAUAUAUAUAUAUAUAUAUAUAUAUAUAUAUAUAAGUUUAAUUUAAUUUUAAAAUGUAUCAUAUUUUAAUUUAAGUUCAUAAUAUCAUAUCAUGUAUAAUAAUUUAUUUAUAUAUUUAAAUGAAAAUAUGAUAAAUUUUAAAUUUUUAUAAAUAUAUAUGAUUAUAUACCACUUACAUAAAAUAUAUAAAAAAAAUUAUUAAUUAAUAUAAUAAUUUAUAUUAUUUAUUUUUGUUAACCCAAGGGUUCUCCUAAUCAUGUUUUAAUGAUAACAAAUCAUGGUUAAGUUACUAAUUGGUUUGAAUUAUAAAGAAUUUCAGGUGUUAGUUUAGAAAUUCAUCAAGAACCUAAUGGAUGCAAGAUCGAGACUUUUGAAAGACCUUUAAUCAUAAGAAACAUAUGUAAGAUGAAUGUAUGGGUGCAUUUAGGAUUUAUAUAUCAUUUCAUGCAUCUUUGAAAAACUCGGUUUAUACUUUAAAGGUACAUUUCCAUCAAAAUCUGAGAUCUAUCAAAUGAACCUUAGGCAAAAUGUUUCAAAAUUGGCAUAUAAUUUUACCUAAAGACCUUACCUAAGUACUAGAAGCAAAAAGACCAGAAAAAUAUAGGUUUUCGGGUCAAAAAUGGUGAACCGGUAGAGGCACUAGCAAAACCGGCUCAACCGACUAAGGUAUUGGUCGACCGGUUACCCCUUCCUAGUCGAGAGAUGCAAAAAACGAUAUCUCUCUUCCAAUAGUCUUUCUUUCCCAGUCAAAGGGAUUUGCCUUCCCAGUCAAGCUCCGAUUGAGGGUAACAGUCACCUGCCAAAUAUUAAAUGCUCCAACAGUUAGUGAACCGGUAGACUCCUAACUCGACCAGUCGAGGCUAUUUUUUGGUUUUUUUGGCUUCCGAUGUUAGAAACCUAUAAAUAAAGAGUUCUACUUCAUUUAUGAGCAAGAGAACACCUACAUUUAUUUGUUUACCUACUUGUUAUUACCUUAAAAGCUCUUAUUCUUUUCUUGGUGCAUUAAAUCUCCAUUUGCAUAUUUUUUUAGUGCACCGUUGUGAUUCAUCAUAACCUUGAGUUGUGUUUGAGUCAUUAUUGAGCUAGGUUGAGAGACUUAACUUAUUAUUUGAGUAAUAAAACCUUCAAGUGAGUUGAGACUUGAAGAGAUUGUGUAAGAACUCAUUGAAGUCAGAAUCCAAGCAUAAAAAGUGAUUAAAAGCUUGGUUGAAACUUCAAGUUAGUGAAAUCCGCACUCAGUUAAGAGCUUGAGGAGAAUGGACUUAGGUAAGGAAGUGUGGAACCACUAUAAAAUUUGGGUUUGAUUUCUCUAACCUUAUCUCUUUAUAUUUGCUCCUUUUGUAUUUAAAUGUGUUGUGCUUAAAAAAAUAAUAAUCUUAAUUCACCCCCAUCUUGAGUGUUUUCUCUUUUAAGAUUAGUCUUUAUUUUUUCAGUUUUUUUUUUUCUAAAUGGGCUUUUCUAAUUUAUUUGUUUUAAAUAAAUAUAAUUUAUAAUAUUUUAUUUAUAUUUAAUUUUAAUUAACUAAUUAUAUUUAUAUUAAAUAUAGUGUCAAUUAUUUUAAUAAAAUUUAAAAAAAAUUAUAUCAAAUUAAAAAUAUUAAUUAUUUAAUUUCAUAUAUUAUUAUUUUUUAAAUAAUGAGAUAAGUUUAUUUAAAAUCAAAAUAAUAUAAUAUUUUUAUUUAAAAAAAAUAAAGUUAAAUAUUUCAAAUGAAAUAAUAUAAUUAUAUAUAUAUAUAUAUAUAUAUAUAUAUAUAUAUAUAAAAUUAACGUUAAGGUUAUUGAUUAAGGGUUUGAUUAUUUUUAAAAGAACUCAAAAUCGUAGGGAUCAAUUAUGGCUUUAAACUUAAACUUGGAUGAAUCAUGGUUGACAACCGGGGUUUUUAAUCAUUUAAAAAAUAAUUUUAUGGCAUACCAACUUUGUGGUACGUACGGAUGUUCAACAUUAAUUUGGAAGCAAGUUUAUUUUAUAGAUUUUUUUUGCAAAACUCACUAAUUUUAAACUUUGAGCCUCACGAAGUUUCUUACAAGUUUGAACAACCUCGAAGAUUGGUCCACGUGUCCAAAAUGUAGUACAAUUAAUGGUGAAGCAGAAUUGGGAAGUACAAAGAUUUGUACUACUUCAACUCAAAAACUCAAACUCUUAACGAGUGCGUACUCCAUUUGAAAAUUGUGAUGUGAUAAAUAUGCAGUACGCUCGACCCAAUUGUACUUUGUUAAGUUGCCUUAUAUAACACCCGAUCACCACCUCCAUCUUUUAGGGAGAAGCUGGAAGAAGAAGCUCUGCUGUGCUGUGGAGGUGUCCUACAGGAGUGACCUGAGAAUCACAUGCCCGCAUCACCCAUCUUUGCUCUCAUGUGUUCUCAGGUCGCCCCUGCUGGACUCCCCUCCACCGCUAGAUUGGAUUACUUUUUCAGUUUCAUGGUUUGGAUACGAUCUUGGGACUGAACGACGCCGUUUUAAUCAGAAGCCAUGGUGUUCUAAUGUGGAGAUAGAGUAAAAAAGAGGUAUUGUUAUUUAUUUAUCUGUUUAUUUAUAAUAUUAAAAAUUUUAACCCCUAUAUAAAGCUCAAAAAUAUGCCACUUGUAUGGUCCAAACGUUUCCCUCAAAAAAUAAUAUUAAAAUAAAUAUUUUCAUAUUUGAUUUUAUUGGAAAAGAUAAUAAAUAAAAAAUAAUAUAAUUAAAAUCAGUUAAAAAUUUAUAUAUUUUUAAAUUAUUUAAUUUUUAUAUAAAUAAAUUAAAAUAAGUUAAAUGAUUUUAAAAUCACAUAUAAAAAUAAUUUAUUUUUUUUACUUUUAUUCACUUUUUUUAUUUUUUUUUACUUUUGAAAAAUAUUAAAUUACUUAAAUAAAAAAUCCAAACAAUUGAAUGUUACAAUAGAUCAAUGUUAUCGAGGUACAAACAAAUAGGGCUAAAAUGAAUAAAUACAAACAAAUACAAUUAGGGUACUUGAAAAUGUACACAUUAAUAGUGUAUUUUUAAUAUAUAUCCAAAAAAAAUACAUUUAUGUAUUGAAAUCACAUCCUUUACUUCUUUUCCCUCACCAUUUUUCUUUAAAUUCAACACAAAGAAUGACAAGCUACUAAACUCAAAUCUAAGAAUUAAUAAUUACGGAUAUUCAUUGAUUUUUAUUAUUAUUAUUAAAUAAAUUAAUUCUAAUUAUUUUAUUUUUACAUUUGAUUUAAUUUAUUACAAAAAAUAUAAAAACAUAAUUUUCUUAAUAAGUCUUUUUUAUAUAAUCUAUAUAUUUAUUAAAUAUAAAAAUAUAAAUAUUAAAAACAUAUAUUAUCAUUUAUUUAAUAUCAUUAAAUAUAUUUAAAUUAAAAUGAACCAUAAUUUUAAUAUUAAAUAUAUUUUAAAAUUGGACAGUUAUUAUAAUAUUAUUGUAAAAUAAUAUAUAAUACAACUUAAUAAUAAAUAUAUACUUAUAAAAUAUAUAAUUUUUUUCGACAUAAAAAUAUUAUUAUCAAAUCUUACAAAUUAUAUAUAUAUAUAUAUAUAUAUCAAUUUUUUAUAGAAAAAAAUAACUUUAAAAUGUCUCUUUUUACUUCUUAUAUAAUUUUUUUUAAUAUUUUCAAAAAAUUUAUUAAUUUUUUUAUUAGUAACAUUUUGUGUCAAAAUAUAUAUCUUUGAUAUACCCAUAAAAUCAAAAUAUCGAUAUAAUUAUAGGUAUUUUCAUCAUUACCUAUCACCACCAAACAAUAAUCUCUCAGUUCAGUGUUUGAAAGAUGUAACCUAUUCUGCAAGAAACCCAGAUAGAAUUAUAUACAGAGAAAACAUAACUACGAUGCAGAAAGAGAGAUCCUUCAUAGAUAUGGGUGUAGAAGAGGAUGAGGAGAGAGGAGAGAGGAGAGAGGAGGAAGACAAAGAAUGAACACCCAAAAAUUGAUUCGCAGAAACAAUACACAUCUACCACUAUAAUCCAAGCCAAACAUGGGAAAAUCUCGGGAGAAACUCCCCAAACACGGGUAAUUGAUGAGAGGCCUUUCACCAUCUUAUCAGCCCCCUGGUUCAAAUCAAUGGGUAUAUAUCUCCAUAACCUCCUUUUCCUGAGACACCCAAGAAAGCUUUGUCAUUAAAUUCUGUCUCAUCCACCAUAAGGUUAGGAACGCCUUGUGAUUUCACCUCUUUUCAGGCCUUCCACUAAGGUUCCGAUCAAAAACUCUUUCAUUGUUUGGAAGAUGAAAAUACAACAAUGAAGUAAACCAAUAAAAAUAAUACAUCAGCAACCAAAGGAAACAACAAAAGAAGCAGUGAGAAGUCAGAACUGAGAAGCAGACCUCACCUACUGGUUGUGGGCCCAUGCUGUUCUCCUUUUAAGUUUGGUUCAUCCAAAAUUCCAUUCCCACAUCGAACAAUUAUGAAGCCAGCAAUGUCUUCAUAUCUAUCAGCUCUCCCACCAAAGCUUGUCUCUUCAGAGACAUCCGAUAAAAUUGGAACGAUACAGAGAAGAUUAGCAUGGCCCCUGCGCAAGGAUGACACGCACAAAUCGAGAAAUGGUCCAAAUUUUUUUUUCUUUUUCUCCCCAAAUCAAGAACACUUUCAACAACUAUGAACAAAUUACAUUACAGAGCCUAUCUCUGCUUCAGAACCAGCCAUUUCUCUGAAACAUGAACUGAACUAUGGUCAAUCAAAGCCUUAGCCAGUUGCCAGGAAAAAAUGAAUAGUACAUCUUAGAAAAACAAAGAGGGAAAAGAAGGAUUCAAUCUCCAAUCAUAGCCAACUCGGUCUUGACUCAUGCAAGCCCAGUUCAAUUGAAAGCUUGAGGUCGCAGGUUUAAACCAGUUUAACAACAUUUGAAACCUGACCUAUAAAAACUUUGGGUCUUACACUUGCCUGAGAGGCAAAAAGAAAAUGGACAUCGUGUUGUCCUUUGUGGCAACUAUAAAUCUAAAAAUGAAUCUAAGGGAAGAAAGGGACCACAUUCAAAUAUAAGCAGAAGUAUAUUCAAGUCAUUUCCUUGAAUAAUGUGUUUGGCCAUCCAAACAAAGCUCGUGGAUUGACUGCUACAAGGUUAUGAAUUGUGAACAAUAUGAUAACAGGAUGGUUGAAAGCAAUCUCCCUUUAUGUGAUUCUGUUGUUAGGCAAGAAGUCACCAUCAGCCAAUAAUCUGUCAAGAUUUGAGUGUCUGAAAGAUGGAAUCAUUCUUUCAUCAGCAGCACGAAUAUAAUUAGUAAUCCCGAAAAGAGAAAAUGUAAUGAUAAAGAAGGAUGAGAGAACCUUCAAAGAAAAAGAAAUACAGGAUAGGAAGAGAAGGUAAAAAAACAGAGGACAAAUGCCCAACAUGCAACCCAGAAACAAUACUGCAGAGUAGAAUAACCCAAGUAAAAUCUGGAGAAACUCAAGGAUAGUUAAGUCGUUAAAAAGGGCAACUGAUGAGAUUACCUUGACCACCUUUAUCAGCCUGGUUUUCCAAGCAAAGGAGCAGCCCACAUUGUAACCAAUGGGCAUAUCCCCAUAACCCUCUCCUAUCCCAAGACACCAAAUAAAGCAUAGUUGUUAAAUCUUUCUCCAACAGAAUGUUAUUAUCUCACCUCUUUCAGGCUUCUAUUACGGCUUAGUUCAAAUGCAGACCAAAACUCUUCUUUCCCAAAGCAACAUAAUUCUAACUAUGUAGGCAUAAGAAUUACCAUCUCUCUUUCAAACAAGCAUCAAUUAAAUAAUUCCUUUUUUUCCUUAAAAUAUGGAAAAUUUGCUGUCAAUCACAAAUUGUCCCACAGUGGAAACUACCCAUGAAUUCCUUUGCUAUACUAUAUACAGAGUACAGCAAAUGAACCCAAACCCAUAUUACUUCCGCAGGUCAUCCAUGUUGCAGCUUUCUAAAUUUGUUAAGACUGCCCAAAGAGUAAGAGCUCAACCUCAGAACUUCAGCUAAGGAACUGUAUGAAGUAUGAACAUAGGAGUUACGAUGAAACAUUGUUAAUUUGAAAACCUAAGGCUAGUUAGUGAAAGUUGAACCUACUCAGCAUAUCUCAUGUUUCUAUAACUGGAGAUAAGGUGUUCAAAGUUAUAUUAUUUUUAUUUUUCCUUCUUUUUUUUUGGUCAAGUUUUGUGGUCCAAUCCAUUUCAUGGAAUGAAAAUCUCUUACCAAGAGAUUAUUCAGAAAACAUAAACACAAUACUCUGAAACCAUAAAAUUAAUCCGACGCUAAAUGACAUCAAACUAAUCAAUAGAUAUCCAAAAUGUAAUACCCUAAACACUAAACAAAAACAAUUCCCACUGAAUUCUGCAAACAUUCAUUGUGGAAAUACUUGAACGAGGAAACUAACAUUUCAACCAACACUAACCCAACUAAUACAGGAAUUUUAGUACCCAAAGCCCAAAACUAAAUACCUCUUAAACCCAUACCUCCAAACACCCAUUCAUGUGAAAACUUGAAACAACCCUCCAUUUUACCACCGAAUGUCAAUGCAUGAAACUCGUAUAAAAGAAAGGUCUCUGACUAACAGUUUCCUGUAGAGAAAUCUGUACCAAUAAAACAACAACAAUAGGUCAUAGGUUAACAGUUUACUUUAAAUAAUUGUAUGCCCAAAACGAUGAUCAUAACAUUAAUUACAGGUUGUUUGGUUCUCUGGAAACUGUGACAGAAAUAAAAGUGAUGGAAAUUUGAACCCAAUAAAUUUUUCAUUCCCUCUCAGCUCUCCCAACUUUUCUCAUCAAUUUUUUGGUUGCAUAAAUUUUCCCCAAAUUUUGACAAUAUGUUCUUCCAAUUUUGUUGAGUAAAAAACCAAAUAGAGUUGGAUGUUUUCCUUUGAUUGUCUAUAAGAUGAAAAUAUAAGUAUAACAAACAAAUGAAGAAGUAAAGAAGCAGAACAUAUCCACAAUCAAAUAAAGAAACAAGAAAAGUAACCCUCACUUUCAGGUUGUGGACCCACAUAAAGGCGGUGCAGGUUGAGUGAAACGGCAUCGUUUUGGGCAGCCGGGGGUCUUGACAUCCCCAUUCCCAUCCCACAUCGAAACUUUAAGACCAGAUAUGUUUCCUCAUAUAUUGAAACUCCACUAUUAAAGCUUGUCUCUUAGGAGACAUCCGAUAAAAUUGGAACGAUACAGAGAAGAUUAGCAUGGCCCCUGCGCAAGGAUGACACGCACAAAUCGAGAAAUGGUCCAAAUUUUUUUUUCUUUCCUCCCCACCAAACAAGACCUUUCUCCAGGUAAAAGUAACACAACGUCCUUCUCCUGCAUUCCUGCAAAAGUUAAACCUACUCACAUAAUUCAUGUUUCUAUAACUGGUGAUUGAAUUCUGGAAGGUAGUUUUGUGCUAUAAUCCAUCUCAUGGAAUGAAAAUCUCUUAGUAAAGAGACUAUUCAGAAAACAGAAACACAAAUACUCUGAGACCAUAAAAUUAAUCCUAAGCCAAAUGACACCAAACUAACCUACCGAGACCCAAUAUGUAAUACCAUAAGCCCUAAACCAAAACAAUUCCCAUUGAAUUCUGCAAACAUCCAUUUUGAAAAGAUUUGAACAAGGAAAAUAACAUUUCAACCAUCACUAAACCAACCAAUACUCCAACUUAUUCUGAAAUUUACUACCCAGAGCCCUAGACACAAUGCAUCUUAACCCCAUAUCUGCAAACAUCCAUUCAUGAGAAAACUUGAAUAAGGAAAAAUAUUAAACAACCAUGCAGUUUACCAAUUAUUGUCAGUGUAAGAAACUCAUAAAAGAUAGAACCCUGAUUAACAGUUUCCUUUAGAUAAUUCUGUACCAAUAAAAUGACUGUAACAAUAACAAUAGCUCAUUGCUUAACAGUUUGGUUUAAUAAUUGUAUACCGAAAACAGUGAUCAUAACAAUAAUUACAGGUUGUUUGGUUCUCAGGAAACUGUAAAGGAAACGAAAGUGAAGCACAAGGGGAAAAAAUGUGGCAAAAAUAAAAUAAAAUACAAAUUUGAACCCAAUAAAAUUUUCAUCCACUCUUCUCCCAGAUUUUCUCACCAAUUUGUUGGUUCCAUAAAUUUUCCCCAAAUUUUGGGGAUAUCUUUUCUUCCAAUUUUGCUCAAUAAAAAACCAAAUAGAAUUGAAAUUUUCCUUUCAUUCAUUGUCCAAUAAACAAAUAGAGAAUAUACCCACAAACAAAUAAAGAAACAAGAAAAGCAAUGAGAACUGAGAAGUGAACAGAGAUCCUCACUUUCAGGCUGUGGACCCCCAUGAACUCCCUUAGGCGAUACAGGUCAUGUGAAACGAUAAUGUUUUGGGCAUCCCGUACCCACUGUCCCACAUCGAAACUUUACAAAUAAACUGGUGUCUGGAUAUUGUCCAGCUCACCCAUAUCAGCUCGUCUCUUCGGAAUAAAAUUGGAUCGAUACAGAGAAGAUUAGCACAUCGAGAAAUAGUCCAAAUUUUUUUCUCAUUUUCUCCCAUGUUUUUUUCCAUUCCAGACCAUUCUCUGUCAAACAUAUGAACACGCUAUGGCCUCAGCAACUUGCCCCUGCAAAAUCAAUUAUACUUGCUGGGAAAGAAAGGACCAAAUCCCCAACCAUACCCUACUUGGUGCUGGCUCAAACAACCUCAAAUUCAAUUGAGAACCUUGAGAUGGCAGGUCUAAGCAUAUGUCACAAAUUAGAACAAGGAGCAUACACCAUAAAGGUUAUGAACCCAGAACUAGAUGAUCAAGAGAUAGUUGACACGGAACUCCCUCUCUAUAUGAUUUUUGUGUGUGAACAAGGUAAUCUGUCUUUGAUCAGAAACAUGAAUAGAAUUAUUUAUAGAAAAAAGGAAACUAUAAAGAAGGAUUGAGAAAUCAUAGAAACCCAUAAUCCUUUCUAUCCUAAGACACACUAAAGCAUAAUCAUUUAUUAGCUUCAACACCAACAGUCUCACUGAUUCAUCUUCGACUCUGAAACCUAGACUAAAUCAAAGUUCAACCCAAACCAAUAUCCUAAAUCAAAGUUCAAAAUAUAAGUACAACUAAGAAUUAAAGAAAUAAACGAACAGAACGUAUCCACGACCAAACAAAGAAACAAGAGAAGCAACCCUUACCUUAAGAUUGGGGACCCCAUGAACUCCAUCAGGCGCUGCAGGUCAUGUGAAACGACAACGUUUUGGGCAUCCCAUACCCAACAUCCCCCGUCACUUCUCUCAUCCCACAUCGAAACUUCACCAAUAAAUUAGUGUCUUCAUAUUAUCCAGCUCUCCUACUGAAGCUUGUCUCUUCGGAGACAUCCGAUAAAAUUGGAACGAUACAGAGAAGAUUAGCAUGGCCCCUGCGCAAGGAUGACACGCACAAAUCGAGAAAUGGUCCAAAUUUUUUUUCCUUCCCUCCCCACCAAACAAGCUGACGAAAAACGACGUCGUUCUCGUACCUGUCUUCACCACCGACACCCAUCGCCAUGUCAAACACUGCACUGUAAAAUUUUUGGUCCAGGUAAAACGACGUCGUUACUAUCACUUCAUGGCCAUGGUAGCGGACGCUCUAGCAACUGUUUUUCAAAACAGUUUUGAAAAACAAAUUUUGACUUUUGUGAAUCUCAUGUAUUUUUAACUUAUUAUUAAAUAUGUUUUAAAAAUAAUUUUUAUAUGUGAUGUUAUUUUUAAUUCUUCUCAAAAUAAUCAUUUUUUAAAACAAUCUUUACAAAAUAAAUAAAAUUAACUAAAAAAUAUCAUCUAAAAAUACUCUAUUUUUUAUUUUUAAAAACAAAAAAUAAUUUUUUUGUUAUCAAACUUUUUUUUGUUUUUUAGAGAAUAGAAAAUUAUUCUCCAAAUCAAUUGUCAAGACUUAUAUCUUAUUUAUUUUCUCAUCUAUUCUUAAAUUUGGAUCCCUUAAAUGAUAAUGAAAAUAGAAUAAAAUAAUUAUAUGAAAAAUGAAAUCUUAUUUUUAUAAGCGGAAUUUUAAUUCACGUUAAGUAAAGUUACUUUGAUUCUUUUAGUUUUUUCAAAAAGAAAAAAAACAAAAAUUUAAAAAGUUGUUUCUAAAAAUAAUUUUUUAUUUUUUAUUUUAUAGGUAAAUUAUAAAUUUAAUUUAUAUAAUAUAAAUUUAAUUUAAGUCUUAUUAAAAAUAAAAGAAUUUUUUAAUUACAAAUAAGUUAAAAAUAAAUCAUUUUUUAUAAAAUCAUAAAUUAUAUAUUUUUUAUAAAUAUUAUAAAAUUUUGGAUAUUAACAUCAUCCUAAAAGCAUAGUUGAUUUAUUUUGUUAAAAAUAAAUAAUAAUAAUAACUUAAAAUUAAUAAUUACUAAUACUAUUUUAUUUUAAAUGAAUUUGAAAAAAAAUUUUGAGGUAUAAAUGAUAUAAAUUUCUCAUUUUAUAUAUAUAUAUAUUAGUACUUAAUUAUAAAAAGAAUGUAGUAUUCUAAUUUUUUUUAUUUAAUUUAUAAAUAAUUAAUCAAUUUUUUGAAUUUUAAAUUAUUCUUAAAAAUUAUAAGAUUUAUUAAAGAAUUUAAAACAUUAAUUAUUUAUUAUUUAGUUUAUAAUUUAGUUAGAAAACAUAGUUAUAUGUAUAGGAAAAAUAGUAAAUUAUGACUCAUGAAGUAUUAAUUUUAGUCUAUUAUUUUUUUUGUAAUAUAUAUAUAUGAAUUUUGUAUUAAGCGUUGGUUAAUUUAGAAUCUAUUUAUUUAAUAAAAAAUUUAAAGAAUUUAAAAAGAAAUUUAGAAAAACACAUGAUUUAAAGGAAAAUCAUUUUUUAAGAUUUUUUUUUUUUUUUUGUAUUGUGUGGUAGAGAGAAAAUAAAGAAAUAUUUUUUAUUAUAUUUUAUUUGUUUUUUGUGGUUUUAUUUAUUUUUUUGUUGCUCUAUAUUUUCUUUUUCUUUUUAAAAAGUGAUAAAAACAACUUCUUAUUCUUUAUUCUCUAUUUCACUUUAUUUUAAAAAUUAUUUCUAUAAAAUAACAACCAAACAUUUCUAUAAAUUUUUGUUGAAUAUUUAAAAAAAUAAAAAUAAAGCAUUGUUUUUGAAUUACACAGAAAUAAACUUUUAUUAUUUAGCAAAAAAAUUAUCAAAGAUAUUCUUUAAAUGAAAAUAAAAAAAUUAUUUUAAGCUAUUUGUAUUUUGAGAGAUUUUUUAAAUGAAAACAAAAAAAUAAAUAGCACCUCUCAACCAAAAGAACAAGGUCCUCCUCUACCAAAUCCAAAUCCUCCAUGUAUCCAUGGAACAAAUGAAUAAAAAUUCAAUUACUCAUUGAAUAAUUUCAACAUCUUCAGAGAUGGAAUUGUUUUCCUUUUUUAAUGCCCCUUCCCUUUAUCAUAUUCCAAAAUAACAUUAGAAAUUAAAAGUAGUAUGAGGGAUGAAUCCAAACUGUCGGGGGAGCAGAUCCAUCGAAGAGGGGGAAGAGAGAAUAGAUGAGGAUGGCAGAGGCUGUUGUUAAAGGAUAAGUGAUCUACUUCCAAAAAGCAAUUUUCUUGAAAGGGGUGCGGAGCCAAGUUGAGAGAGUGGCGGGUGAGCCGAAGAGGAUGCAGUAUUUUCUGAAUGAUGCACAGGCAAGGCAAAACGGAGAUGAGAGAGUGGGGAACUGGGUUUCUAAAAUUCAGAAUGCUGCAUAUAUAUAUAAAGGAAGAUAUAAUAGACAUGAUCUUCAUCUUCAAGAAGUACUGGACAGAUAGGUCUCAAUAAGGGUGGGAAGUGAGAAGGAAAUUGAAGGCAUCCAGAUAAGGAUCGAUCCAGGACAUCUCCUAAAAGUAGGGUAAGCUAUGGAAUCAGUAAUACUGGAGAAGGUACCCAACAGCUAGCAGCUAGCGCAAAUCAGAGGCCGCAAAAGCUCAGACAAUCAUCUCCUCUUGUUGGUUUAGCAUUGGCAAUUGUUGUGUUGGGAGGCCUGCUGUCCCGGAAAAGAAGGUAGUGGAUGCCGUGCUCAAAGCUAUAUCAGUUUUGCCUCCUUCCUUGGAGAUCUUGAUUUCUUUUAUUUAUGUCUUUUCCCAGAUGAACAUGUAUCUCUGUAAGAAAACUAUAUUGUAUCUUUUGUGGGUUGCAGAGGGAUUCAUUCCCCAACAAGGACAAAGAAUAUUGGAGACCAUGGCCGAGGGUUAUCUCAACCAGAGUUAAUGGGCAGAGAAACUUGGUUCAAAUGGUUAGAAUCGAGUGUGAAUGAGAUGGUUAGAGAAUGCCGGAUUCAUGAUCUAGUGAGUGUCUUGUUCAUUAACAAGGCAAUGACAACAUGCAUGUCUCCAUAUGAUCAAACAAUUGAUUAUAAGCCUAGCUGUCUCACCAUCUGUUACAAACUAUGGUCCUUUCUGCUCCAUGGCAUUUCCCCCUUUCCCCUUAUGAGCCAUGUGAGUUCCACUAGCACUGUAAACCAUCUGAGACUCGCUACUAGUAAUAUGACCUGCACCAGAAUAGACUACCUAUGGACACCUCCCACUUUUCUAACAAAGACCUUGUUCUGAGCCGGCAUAUAGCUAAGGAUAAAAUAAGGGUUUUAUCAAUUUAUGGUACUUGUUCAUCAUAGCAUGGUUGAGUUUGUUACCAGCACUCCCGUCACUGCAACGAUGUGCCCCAUAUUAUAGUCUACAUAAUGGGAGAGAAUCAAUUUUUUGAGCUUUCAACCAUGAACAAAAAUUACAUUACAGAGCCUAUCUCUGCUUCAGAACAAGCCAUUUCUCUGAAACUAUGGUCAAUCAAGUGCCUUGGCCACUUGCCCAGCAAAAUGAAUUGUACAUCUUUAGAAAAAGGAAGAAAAAAAAAGGAUCAAAUCCCCAAUCAUACCCACCUUGGAAUUGGCUCAUUCAAGCUCAAUUUAAUUGAGAGCCUUGAGAGGUUGCAGGUCUAAAGCAGUUUAACAACAUUGGAAAAACAAACCAAACCUAAAACUUUGGGGCUUACACAUGUCUGAGAGGCAACAAGAAGAUGGACAUGGUGUUGUCCUUUAUAGCAAACAUAGGGUCUCAUUAAAAAUCUAAAAAUGAAUUUGAAAGGGAAGAAAGCGAGCACAAUCAAAUAUAAGCAGAAGUAUCUUCAAGUCAUUUCCUUGAAUAAUGUGUUUUGACCAUCCAAACAAAGCUCAUGGAUUGACUGCUACAAGGUUAUGAACCUUGGAACUAUAUAAUCAUGACUCAUAAGAUGGUUGAAAGCAAACUCCCUCUCUAUGAGAUGUUGUAGUUAAGCAAAAAGUCAUGAAUCAAUACUCUGUCAGAAGUGUGUCUGAAAGAUGUAAUCUUUGUUUUAUCAGCAACAAAAAUAUAAAUUACAAAUAGAGAUAAUGUAAUUAUAAAGAAGGGUAAGAGAACCUUCAAAGAAAUAGAAAUACAAGAUAGGAACAGAAGGUAAAGAAACAGAGAACAAAUGCCCCACAUGCAACCCAGAAACAAUACUGCAGCCUAGAAUAACAGAAGUAAAAUCUGGAGAAACUCAAAGAUGGAAUAGCCCCUAAGAAAAGGCAACUGAUGAGAUUCCAUGGACCACCACAUCAGCCUAGCUUUCUUAGCAAAGGAGCAACCAAUGGGCAUAUCCCCAUAACCCUCUCCCUACCCUAAGACACCCCAUAAACCAUAGUUGUUAAAUCUUUCUCCAACAAAAUGUUAGGGAGACCUUCUAUUAAGACUUACUUCAAAUGCAGACCAAAACUCUUAUAUCCCAAAGCAAGAUAAUUCUAACUAUGUAGGCAUAAGAAUUCAAAAUCAUGUUAAUACCAUUUCUCUUUCAAACAAGCAUCAAUUAAAUAAUUACUUUUUUUUCUUUGAAGUAUGAAGCAUUUGCAGUUAAUCACAAACUGUCCAACCAUUGGAACUGCCCAUGAAUUACUUUCAACCAUGAAAGUUUUUAUGGUACUGUAUACUGAGUAAUGCAAAUGAACCUAAACCCACAUUACUUUCCCAGGUGGAUAUCACAUUCCUAUUUAAAUUACCAUAUUACAUUUUAGAAUGGGAAUAGGAAUCAAAAAUCCAUUAUCAUGGAAACCAAAUUUCACUCUCACUAGGAUUUUGAAUCCUCUCUCCUACAUGAUAUUUUGAUUCACCUCCUUCCUAUCCUAUUUUGAUUCCUAUUCUCGCAUACCAAAUUCACACUAAAGUUAUUCCUACUUGUAGAAAAUAACAGUAUUUUUCCUCUCUUGUAGUUACAUAAAAAGCUAAUCAUCAUGGCUGAAACCAAAAUACUAAAAUGGCAGGCCUCAAAUAUAAUUGCACAAUCAUUUUACACUGUCCACAAUAGAGCCUUCACCAUAGUAGAAAUUUGCAAUCUGAAUUGCAAAAUCUGUAAUUGAUUCUCUCUAGCUAUUUAGAACCCUGAAAUUUCUACUCAACUCUUUCCUUCUUCUCUGCUUCUCGCACUCUAUUUUGUAACACAUCAAUCUGAAGAGGCAAAUUUAAAUGGCAAACACUGGGUGAUAUGCCAUUACUUCCUAAGUAGCAGUUGAAAUAGUAAAAUCGAAGUUACAAAAUGAAGACAAGUAAUGUAAUCAGAACUUCAAUCAAGAAACUGUUUGAACAUAGCCGAUAGCACUUAUGGUGAAACAUUAUUAGUUUAAAAAACCACCGGCUAGUUAGUAAGCAAAAGUUGAACCUACUCACAUAAUUCAUGUUUCUAUAACUAGCGAUUGAGUUCUGGUUAGUAAGCAAAAGUUGAACCUAUUCACAUAAUUCCUGUUUCUAUAACUGGUGAUUGAUUUCUGGAAGGUGGUUUUGUGCUCUAAUCCAUCUCAUGCAAUGAAAAUCUCUUAGUAAAGAGACUAUUCAGAAAACAGAAACACAAUACUCUGAAACCAUAAAAUUAAUCCUAAACCAAAUGACACCAAACUAACCAACCAAUACCCAAUAUGUAAUACCCUAAACCCUAAACCGAAACAAUUCCCAUUGAAUUAAAAAACCACUGGCUAAUUAGUAAGCAAAAGUUGAACCUACUCACAUAAUUCACGUUUCUAUAACUGGCGAUUGAAUUCUGGAAGGUGGUUUUGUGCUCUAAUCCAUCUCAUGCAAUGAAAUCUCUUAGUAAAGAGACUAUUCAGAAAGUAAAAACACAAAUACUCUGAAACCAUAAAAUUAAUCCUAAACCAAAUGACACCAAACGAACCAACCGAUACCCAAUAUGUAAUACCCUAUACCCUAAACCCUAAACCAAAACGAUUCCCAUUGAAUCCUGCAAACAUCCAUUUUGAAAAGAUUUGAACAAGGAAAAUAACAUUUCAACCAUCACUAAACCAACCAAUACCCCAACUAAUUCUGAAAUUUUAGUACCCAAAACCCUAGACACAAUAACCCCAUCUCUGCAAACAUCCAUUCAUGAAAAAACUUGAAUAAGGAAAAAUAUUAAACAACCAUGCAUUUUAACAAUUGAUGUCAGUGUAUGAAAAUCAUAUAAAAGAAAGGACCCUGAUUAACAGUUUCCUUUAAAUAAUAUUAUACUUUUGUGGCAGAGUCAUUUAGGAUCCUAUAUUGUUGAAAAUUAUUCCAAAAUAAAAAAAUUAAACAGUCAAAGGUUACAUUAAAUAAGCUUGUUAUAUUGUUGAAAAUAAUUGCAAACAUUAUGGACCAUAAAUUUAGGGUUGCAAAACAAGACAAAGGAAAAUGAAAUUGGGUUGGGCAUGCCAUUGAAAGAAUUGAAGGCAUAUAUAAGUUGCCUAAAGUCGGCUUUUCCACUGUCUUCAGUCUCCACCCUGGGAGAUGAUCAAUUUUUUGUGUUCCAAAUCCAGAGAAAAGUUACAUUCCAGACACUACUCUCUGGUUUCAGAACCAGCCAUUAAACAAACAUGAACUCAACCGUGGAUAUUUGAGAAGAAAAAGAGCCACAUAGGUUACUUCACACCAUCAAUCCUCCUAAGAAGAAGCUUGGUUACAAACCCCAUAUACAAAUUAUGCUAAUGUGCCUUUGAUGAACCACAUCUCAGGCCUCUUUAUAAAUCUAUAUAAUAAAGCUCACAGUAAGGGCACACAAGAAUUUAAAUCUAAACAGGCUCAUCUUCAAUUCAUUUGCUCAAGCAAUGGAAUUAUAUCAUUGUUCCAAACCCCCUGAAGACAACGACUGACAAGUAUGACCAUUCUGACUGUUCAAACGAGCUCAUGCAACCACAUCAAAAUCAAUAGGAACAAGGUUAUGAAGCACAAACUAGAUGAUCAUAUGUCUCUAUGUGAUGUUCUAGCUAAGCAAGGUAAAGACAUCCAAACAAAGGAGCGACCCGCAUUCUAUUAAGAUAAAAACUCCCACUUCCCAAAGUAAGAUAAUUCUAAGUAUCAAGUCAUAAGAAUUCAAAAUCAUGUUCACACCAUUUCUCUUUCAAACAAGCAUCAAGCAAAUAAUUCUUUUUUUCCCCCUUGAGGUAUGAAGCAUUUGCAAUUAAUCACAAAUUGCCUCACAAAGGAAACUACUCAUGAAUUCCUUCCAACCAUGUAAGUUCAUACAAUAUGGUAUAUGGAAUAUGAUGACUGAAGGUCCUAAGCUCUAACCAAAGAAUUAUUGUUGCGUGCAUUACUAAGCAUAUGAGAGAUUCAUCUCAACCUUCAAAUUUAUAAAUAUAGGAAUUUUAGCAUUUUUGUUUCUUUUCAGUUGGUUACCGCCAGAAAAUAAAAUUUUGAUCCAGCUGCCAAGCUAAUGAUAAAGGUCUAAGCAAAACCGAAGUUUCUAAGGUUGUGUGCACACCUUUGAGCAACAGAAGUGACACACCAUGUUCUUAUAUUUUGUUUCGGACACCCAUUUUCUAGUGUACUACAUGUCAUUACUUGCUAAAGAGCUAAUUUAAUAUGUUUCACUAAGUCUCUUCCAUCAACUGAAAAUAAAUAAAAAUGACAUGAACUUGCAAAACCUAUUUAAGAGUAAGAGCUCAGCCUAAAAGCUUUAGCUGAGAAAAAGUGUCGAAGUAGCAUUUCUAGUGAAACAUUAUUAUUGAACACCAAUAACUACUUUAAGUUUCUUGCUCUAACUAAUUCCUACCAAUGAUGCAAGUCAUUUAUGAAGAGAUUGAUAGACAGCUGAAACACAAAUCACUCCCAAACUAUGAAAUUAAACCUGAUAAAAUGAAACAAUAUCCCAACUAACAACAAAAAUGUAGACAAUAUUAAAAAAUAAACCACCUUACCAUCUGAUGUUUUGACUAAUAUGAUUUCACCACAUGCAAUAUCUCCAUAAUAUCAAACAAUUGAUUAUAAGCCUAGCUGCAACAAAUAUUUUUAAUUGAUGAUAGAAAAAAUGGUAAGGAUUUGAAGUAAGCCUAGCUGCAACAAAUAUUUUUAAUUGAUGAUAGAAAAAAAAGUAAGGAUUUGAAGCAGGAAGCAACAUCCAAAAAUACAUUCAAGGACCUUAACAAAUGAUUCAUUAAACCAUACAUAGAAUCAAACCCACCAGUGGAGAACCGAACAUCAACCAUACACCUUGAACCCACCAGUAGAGUCAACAAGCCCAUAACCUCAUCAUGCACACAAAACUUGUUAUCCUAUGAUCAACUUCAGAAGAGUCCAGCUUGGUAUCCUUUUACCAAGAAGAAUUUUGGUCCCUACUAAGUCAUAACUCUAACCUGCAUUUCCUGCCCUUGGAAGGUAUUGGCCAAUCAUGGCAAGCAAUAAAACCUGUCAAUCCUAAUCAUCUAGUAGAAUACCAUCAAACCCUCUUACCGCUCUGAAAAUAUUACUAUCUACAAAUUACUUAAAAUCAUGGCAGGGAAAAGAUGAAAUCAAAACCCAACUUGUCAAAAGUAUAUGCACCUAGAAAAAUACAAACCAGCAACACAUUUCAUAGAAUUUAUAGAUUUAACAAAAAAUAUGCAGCCCUGCUCAAUGAAAAGCCAAAUAUCCCUGAACCCAAAAACUCAGAAUCCACUACACAAACCCGUUUUUCCCUUUCACCUAAAUCUAAGGCUAUUCACCUCCAUUAGACCAUACCCCUUAACUCAUGCUAUCUUUUGGCAUUACUCGCCCCUGUCUGUAGCCCCUCUCAUUGCUAUAAAGUUUCCUUUUUUAUGGUUUUGCUUCGUAAAACACACACUACUCCAAGUCCCCAAGCAUGAAGCACAUAGUAAAAAGAAAUUGAACCAACAAGCAAUAAACCCAAAACAUUCUACAUAACAUUCUACAUUUCACUAUACUAUCAGGCGCUUCGAUAUACAAGUAAUCGAAUCCAUAAAUCCAUCCCCGUCCACAAAUAUAACGGCUUUAAUUGACAAUUCAGCAUACAAAUUCCAAUUGUGGACAAAUCCAAAGCUCCAUGAAAUUCAGAAUCCUCACAGGCUACUUAUCUUUGUUAAGCGAGACGCCGUACUUCUCCUGCAUCUUGGCGAGCUCGUCCUCCUUCUUCUUCUGAUCGAACUUCUUGCUCAUCUUGGCCUGCUGAUAGUAGAGAACGAUGAGGUACCGAUUGGCGACGUUGAAGCCAGAGAGAUGAUCGACGGCGGUCUUGGCGUCGUAGAUAUCCUCGUAGACAACGAACGCGGUGCCGCGAGUGUCCUUGUUGGUGCCGAUUCGGAUCUGGCGGAUGGCACCGUACUUGCCGAAGAUGUCGUACAUCUCCUCACUUGAGAUGUUGAAUGGCAGGUUGCGGACGUAGAGGACUCGGUUCACCUCCGGCGGCAGCCGCGUGUUGCCUUUUCGAAGAGAGAUGGUCGCCAUGGCGGCGGUUCCUGGCGGUAGCAGUAGUUAUGGCGAUGGCAGUGGUUUCCGGUUUGGGUUUUGCGGCUUUUGCCCUAGAUUUUGCGAGGAGGAGAAAUUCUUCCCUUCAGAAAGAAUUUUUCUAACCAAACACUCUAAUUCGAAGACGUCUUGCUUUUCUAAUUAUUUUUAAAAUUUUCAUGGUAAAUAUACUAUCAUUUUUUUUACUUUCUAAUUAAUAAAUUUCUAAAUAAGUAUGAUGUAGGGUCCACUUCCAUAUAAAAAUAUUCAAUUUUUAAAAAAUUUUAUGCUCUUUUAAGGUUUUUCCUUUUUUUUUUUUUUUUUCUCUUAACAAUUUUUUUCCAAGUUAUUUUUUAUAUUAAUUGUUUCAUAUGUAUCUUCACUCUCUCCAUUUUUUUUUAUAAUUACUUUAAAAAAAAUUAAAGCUCAAAGUCUAUUGAUAACUUUUUUCAAAAAAAUUUUGAAAGUCAAUUUUUGAUAAUAGUUUUUAAAAAUUAUUCUCCUAAAAAUAGGAAGUGUUUUUAAUCAAUCUAUUAUUUAAAAAACAAACCUUUUUUUAUACAAAUUUUUAAACACUAAAAAAAUUUUAAAAUAUUUUUUAAAAUCAUUAUCAAACAUACUCUUAUAAAAAAAUUCACAAAAUUUAAAAAUUAUUUAAUAUUUUUAAUAUAUAAAAACAACUCUUUUGAUAUUUUCAAGUAUCAGAAAAGAUCAAAAACGCUUUCUAAAAUCCUGUUGAACGAAAUUUUAGAAAAUAUUUUUAAAAAAUUAAUAAAUGAUUUAUAGUGUUUCUUUAGGAAAUUAUUUGACAAGUAAUUUUUUUCAAAAAUGUUUUUAGAGAAAACUUCAAAUAAAAACUCUCCCAAAUGCGUAAACACGGCCUAAGAGCAUGUUGGGAGUGAUCCUACUGAAAAUAUUUUAUCAAUUGUAAUUCUAUUAUAAACACUGCUAAAGAUAAUCCUUGGUGUUUAAAUACAUGUUUUAGAAAAAAUUAGUAGUGUUUUUUAUAAUGUACUACAUAAUUAAAAAAAAUCAAUUCUUAGAAGUAUUUUUUAACCUGCGGGCAAAAUCAAUUUUAAAAGGGUUCUAAAAUUGUAUUUGGUUAUAUUUCCAUUUUCAUAAAAUUGGUUUUAAAAAAAAUUUAAGAGUAUGUUUGACAAUUAUUAUAGGAAGGGACUCGAAAUAUAAAAAUUUUCAAGUGUUAUAAAGGUCAAAAACACAUAUUAAAAUCAUUAUCAAAUGUACACUCGUUUGAUAGUGAUUUUAGAAAGUUUUUUUAAUAUUUUUAAUGCUUAAAAGAUAAAAAAUUAUAAGUGUUAAAAAUAUUAUAAACACUUCCUAAAAUCGCUACCAAAUGUGAGUACAUUCAACAAUGAUUUUAGAAAGUGUUUUUAAUUUUUUUAACACUUAAAAAUAAAUUUGCCUCAUUUAAGUGACUAUAGUUUAUUAACAAUUGUCUCCCAGUAUAACGAGUGGAGAGAAUUGAUGAAUUAAUGAAAAUGUCACGAAGGUUCCUAUUUAUAGAUUUGAUGAUGGUCUUUAAAAGAGAUGUGUCUUUAAAAUACUAGACACAUCCUUUGAAGGAUUGUAUCUUAAGACACCAAAUAUAACAUUUGGAAGUAUAUGGACAAUAAGUGUGUAUAAUAAAUAUACAAAUAAAAUAAAGUAGAAAUUGUAACUCACAAAUAAGGUUAAUCGAGACUAAAGUUUGACUUUAUAUUCUUAAGAUGAAUUUGCCUCAUUUAAGUGAUUAUAGUUUAUUAACAAUUGUUUCUCAGGAUACAACGAUCAUUUUCCUGUGAUAAUAACAUUUCAAAUCACAAGAAACAACUAAUCACUUAGUAAUUUGUACUCUCUUGUAAACAAAAUAUUUGGUAAAAAAGGAAAAAUGACUUGGCCUGAAAGACAAAAAAUGAGAAAGAGUGGAGAGAAUUGAUGAAUUAAUGAAAAUAUCACAAGGGUUCUAUUUAUAGAUUUGAUGAUGGUCUUUAAAAGAGACGUGUCUUUAAAAUACUAGACACAUCCUUUAAAAGAUUGUAUCUUAAGACACCAAAUACAACAUUUGGAAGAUGUUGUGUAUUUUAGAAUCAGGACACAUACUUUAAAACAAGUUAUGUCUAUUAAGAAAAGAUGUGUCCUAAUUUUCAUUCACUUAUAUAAAAUUUCCAAGAAUCUCUUCACAUGUCUUCCGGCUCAUUCAUCUUAAACAAAACAACCCAAUCUAACCGGUUACAACUUACCAAGCACAGCUCUCAACCUGAAAAUCCCUUGGCUCGAGUAUUCUAAUGUUUUCUUGUCAAGUAAAAAUACUAGUAUUCUGAACAAGAAGAAAUAGUGCCAUGGGACUACAAAAGAAACUAACAAAAGGGCAAAAAGGAGGGUACACCCAGUAGUAGUAUCUCACACCAGCCAGGAUAACUGCCUUUCACCAUUGGUAAUUUGCAAGACAUUGAUUAACUCGAAGAACAAGAGAGUCAAAAUUAUUUUUUUCCCGACCAAAAAUGACAUCACGACGUUGCUCCUCUGUAAUUUAUUUGGGUCUAAGGGCGAUGUUGAUUGUAAAUUUGUACAUCCUCCAUCAGCUCCCAUCGUCAUGUCAAACACUGUAUUCUAUAAUUGGUUUUUUCCACGUAAAACGACGUCGUUCCUCAGUAAUUUAUCUGGGUCUAAGGGUGAUGUUGAUUGUAAAUUUGUACUUUUUUCGGGAUUUUAAAUUUAACCCUUCCAUCCCUUCUCCUAUAUGUUGAAAAUUCCUAGAUGUUACCAUGAAGGGUGGUCAUAUUCUUACUUCAAGAGGAUUUAAUCUUUUGCCUUUCAAUGAUAACAAUGGAUUCAAGGAAGCAUACACAUUCUCUAUUUGUAUGAAAAUUUGAAAUUGAAUUAUGAUGUAAAUUUUUUCUUCAAAAGCAGUUUAUCUUACUAUUUUAUUUGUUGUAAAAUCCUAUUAAUGUGUCAAGAAUUUGUAUUUCUAAAUAUUUUCAAAAGAAUUUUAGGAAAUUAUGUACUAAAUGGUUCUCAAAACCUGCUUUAAAAAAUGAUUUUAAAAAUAAUUUUUAUAUAUAGUAUUUUAUUUUUCAUUAAUCCUAAAAAAAUAAAUAAAAAUAAUUAAAAAAAUAUUUUCAAAAAACAAAAAAUAAUUUAUAGUUGUCAAACAUAUAUUUUUUUUGUUAUUGAUAAUAUAAAACUGUUUUCGAAAGCAAUUGGUAAACAAGUUUUAGGUCAUUAAUUUUUAGAAUAAUUUUGUAUUUUUGAUAAUAAACUAACAUAAAAGCAAGUUAAGUUAUUAAUUAUUUUAAAAUUGGUUUUUGAGAAUUAUUUUGAAAAUAAAAUAAUUUUUUUUGAUAUAUUUCUAAUUAUUUUGAGAUUAUUUUAAAAAAUAAUUAUAUAAAUAUGAUAAAUGAUUAAAAAUAAAACACUAUAUUAUGAUUUUUAAAAAUGUAAAGAAUGAAUUAAAAAAUUUCGAAUUCUAUAUAGAUUUUUAUUAUGAAAAUAUAAAAAAUUAUGUUUUAAGAAAUAUUUUCGAUAACUUUCCCAAACAAAAAAGUAAUUUUAUUUUUUCAAAAACAGAAAAUUGGUGAAAUUUUGCAAUUGAACCAUAAAAAAUAAGUUAUAAAAUUACCGUUAAGAUUUGUAUGGGUUUGAGUGGUAAAAAUCUGGUGGAGGUUUCGUCAGGGACCGCAGAAAGGCGGUCCAUAGAAAGCGCGAGUACGAUAAAAUCAGGGGGCGAGUAGAAACAACAGGCACGCACCUGUAACAGUAACAGAUCAAGAUGGCGGGGGGGUCCACUGUUGCUCUCUCUCCCCGGUUAUAAUAUUUAUACCUUACUUUCAAUUUGGGUGAGUUUCUAUAUUUGUUUUGGAACCAAACCUCACCUACUUUCUCAGGAGCAUUUUCAUUUCUCAUACAUUUUCUCUCUCCCCAAUGUAAGCAACAACCACACCCACCCACCCGCCCUCAUGAAAGUUUUACCCAAGUACUUCCCUUUUUCGAUGACCCAUUUCGGGUUUUUUCUGGGUAUGAUUUUUUUUUUUUUUUUUUUUCUAAUGGCUUGAUUUUCGUCAGGAAUUUGGAGGGAGAUCUGAUGUGCCCUGCCGUUGAUUACAGCUGCAUUCAAGAUCAUGAUGCCGCUUGAGCAUAAAGGUUUGACCUUGCAAUCACUUGAAUCCUUUGAUCUCUGCUUUUGGGAUAAUUCAGGUGAUUUUUUUUGUGUGUUCCUUUUGUUGGUUUUGAUGUUGGGACCUGAAAUGGGUUGUUGGUUUUGAUUGUUUGUAAAUUUCUGGUGUUUUUGGUGUGUUUGGAGGUGGGUUUAUCGAUUUUAAUGUGUCAAUUGGUUUGUUUUUGAUGUGUGUGGUAUUAUACUGUGAGAACUGUUUGAUUCGACUUCAGGUUAGCCAAAUGGAGGGAUUUUGAAAAUGCUGGGAUGGGACUUUGUGGGUUUUAUUAUGUGCAUUUCACGUGAAAUGCAGCAACUUCCAGAAAGUCGAGUGAUGGUUAAAACUUAAAACACCAAUGCCAGUGGAAAAGAUAAAAAGUGUUAACUUGCUCUGUUGAUUAUCGUAUCCAAUUCUUUAGGUUAAUGAACCAUUAUAUGUUUCCAGUUGGUUCAAAUUUUAAAUGGAAGUAUAACAAGUGGUCUUCCUCAUUAAAAAUUUCCCAACCUGAAUUUUGUGCUCAGAAAAGAGGAAAAAAAAAACCAUGGUUGAUGGGAUUGCAAUAAGAGUUUGGUUGGCUGAUGGGCUUGCAGUAAGAGUUUAGUUGGUUGAUGGGACUGCAAGAGUUCUCUAGUUGAUUUUUCUUGGUGACACGGCGUUCUUAGAAAUGAAGCUAGAAGGGAAAUGAAUGAAAAAUUGGAAUUCUGGGUUGCUCUUGAAGCUAACAGUUUCAAAAACAAAAUACCAAGGUGAUUAUUUGGGAUUAAGUUUUGGUAAGGGCAUGGCUUGAGUGAGAAUGGUGGUUAAGAUUGGUGAUUUGGAGAUAACCUAAUAACCAGUUGUUGUGGUCUGACUUCACUGUCAUUUCCACUGGACCGAUAAGCUCACAGAUUGCAUAAUGCACUGGAUAAAGGAAUGGUUCUGCAUGCUUCUUGAAAUGCUUAGCCAAGUCACAUGUUAAUUGUAGAUAAGAACUUUUGAACUAAUCUACUGACUAAUCUCAUAAAAUUUGAGAGCAUUUUCCACUGCAUCCACAUGACUUGAGCCGGUUGCUCAGCCCUUUUAAGCUCCACUCUCAGAGUGACCAUUCUUUCGACAAAGAGUGUUUUUCAUUGUAGAUUCUCCAUAACCCUGGAUUCUAGUGAAGCUAAAUGUUAAGAGGUAGGCAGACAAGAAUGUUUAGUUGCUAUAGUUAGAGAAUACGUUUUCUCUUAUUUUAGUUGUGGAUUGAGUGGAGGUGAAAAGUUUUUGAUGUUGUCUUUGAUGUAAUUUCUUCUAGGAUCCAUGAGGCUUAUUUUUAGGGCCAUCAAGAUUGAUUCAAUUUGCUAGAUUUGUCAGUGAAGUACACCUACAGCCUGCUAACCGACCUGCUGCAAACACUGACUACCUUUUACCCAGAUGACUUCCUUUUAGGAAAGCAAAAAGAUGCUUGGUCCAGCAGCAGUACCAACAUUACCCUUUUCUUUUGCAGGAAACAGAAAUGUUAUUAGAAUAAUAAAAUAGAAGAAUGUACAAGGAAGAUGAGAAUUAUCUCUAGCGUAACAUAGAAAAAUGAAAGCCAAAGAAAUCGGCUCCUAAAUACAAGGCAGAAGCCACUACCUCUAAGACUUGAUCACUCCAAAGCACAAUGCCCAGUGGACCAUGAUCGAUAGACUCAAGGGGAGAGAAAGUUCCUAACAAACACUAUGAAGGAGGAGUCUCCCCCUUGAGAAGUCUCUUUCCUUUGGAGUUUAGGGGCAUCCUAAAAUAAAAACGGAAGUCUACCACAGCCACUGAUUAUGUCUUGAGGGACCUCUCCUACCUUGUGACACCUGGGCUAGAACAAUCACUGAAUCCUUCUCUACUAAAAAAUUAGUAAUAUGUAAUGAAAUUGCCUUUUUUGGAGGUCUUCAACCAGAGCUAAAAUAUCAGCCUUAAAGGUAUAGAAAAUUCUCUAUCAAUCUUGCUCCUGAAAGGGCCUUAAUACCCAUCUGACUUGGAUUACCCAACGAGCACCCAUUACUAUUCGCUAUUGAGCUUGGGGCAUUCAUUAGUUGGAAAACCCAUAUGGCCCUGAUAGCAACAUCUCACAAAUGAGGUAGGUAGUUCAAUCCCCAAUCAGACCAUAUGAUGCCAAUGACAACAACGACGGGCUUCUUAGCAACUGCCAUCCAUAGAAAAGUAAAAUGAUGAAUGCUAUCAUCACUUAUCUCACACUCUCAACCCUGCAAUUGAAAAGACUUAUUUUUCAUUUUCUUUACGGAAUAGGUGAUUCGAUUUAUUAAAAUAAAAAAAACCAAUAUAAGGGUAUAUGCAAUGAUAUUUAUGUCUUUCACUUGAUAGUGCAUCACCUUAAGGGUGCAUUUGGUAGACUAUCAUUGGGGUCUAGAAAUGUAUGCACAAUUCCAAUUCUUGGUUAGAUGGGAAUAUGAUUUUUUUUGAACAUGUGAAGAAUAAAAUGGUAGGAAUAAUUUCUCAUUUCCAUUUUUCUAUACAACAGUAUCAUGAAUGAAAUCAGAAAAGGAAAAUAUUUUCAGUAAUCCCUUUGUCAAUAUUUCUUCCACUUUGUUGAUAACCAAACAAAAAACCUCCACUUUCUUAACCAAAAGAAUUAAAGAAGGGCCAUUUUUUCUCUUCUUUUCUGUCACCCUCUUGUCAAUAAAAGGAAAGUUUUUCACAUUUUCAUAAAUCAAGAUAAUGCAAAGCAUGAAUUUGGAAAAUUAUCAUUUUUCUUUGUUUCUUCCACCUUUUCGACAGCCACACAUAAAAUCUCUACUUUCAUUGCAGUUUUGGAAGGAUGUCUUGUCCUUCAUGGUACUUACUAAUUGAUUUCUAUGAGUUUUUUGUUUCUGAGAAAAAGAAAAGAAAAUCUACAUAAAUUAUGCAAUUGAAAAAAGAAAAACAAUUUUUUUUUUCUUUCAUUGCUUCUUUUACGUUCAAGCACAGACUACUUGCUUUUUCAUCAACCUAAAAGAAUAAAAUAUCAAAUUAGAAAUAAUUUUCUCUUUGCUUGUUCUACUUUCUUUCUCAAGCGAAUAGAAAAUCAUCAUUUCAACAAAAAUAAUGUUAAAACAUGAAAUCAAAUAUAACUGAAAAUUUUGGUUUUUUAUUCCAAUUUCUUGGAUAGCUUGUUUUGUGUGUAUUUUCCUUUUCAUUCUCACUUGGAGGAGGGAAUGCAAAUAACUUGGGUGUGUGAAGGAAUGGAAUCAGAGAGCUGGCAUCAAGGUUCAAAGUUUUUGUCAAAUUCGAUACUACUGAGCUUAAGUGUAAUUGGAACAGCCAUUACUGAGACAAGAGUGAAACUUGAUACAAGAUUUGCCCACUGCAGCAAUGGAUUAGCUAGUCAUGACCAUACUGGAUGGGUCAUGGUUGGUACAUUUGAGUCAUGACUGACUUGCACCAUAUCUAGCCCAUACAUGUUCCAAAGCCAUAUUGAUUCCAAUCUUAUAGAUAAAGUUGUAUGUGAGGAAGGAUGACAGAUCCUUUCAUAAAAUGCAAAAACUAAGUGGACAUUGUAAGAGAAAUAUAGAUACAAUAAACCUCAAUACAAGAAUAACCCAAAAAGGUCAUUGGGGGAAAUAAAUCCCCCAAAUUACAGGAGGGAUGCUGCUCCUCUCUUGAUGAGACAAUCAACCUCUUGAUUUACCUUUCUAUGUCUGUAAAAGAAGCAUGAUCUUGAAACUCUAGAGAGGUGCACUAUUCCUUAGAGCUCAUGAGCUCAUCUCCAAUAUCUUCUCCUACCAGUGUAGCCCAAGAGAUCAUUAAUGUCAAAUCUCCUGCCAACAAAGUAGAGAUUCUCAAAUUACUGACUUAUUUUAGACCCUCUAUUAAGGCUAGGAUUUCUGCCUGAAAAGCCAAACCAAUUUGUUUCACUUUGAAAGGGCCCUUGUAUGACCUGGAUUUUCCCAAGGAUACGAUCAAAAGUAAGUUCAGGGACCCCUUAAAGUGGGGGAAUCCUGAAAAUAGCAGGCAGUUCUUCAAUCUGGUGACAAAAUGCUGACAGGUGCAUCUUCGAACCCCUUGGAGGCAAAAGCCCUAAGGAUCGUGAGGAAGUUGAUAAGGUGGCCUUUCAAGAGUGAGUCUUAUGUGAAGAGUUUGGUUUUGUUUUGCUCUAGAGCUUGGGGGGCUGCAUGAAUAACUUGCACCAUACCAAGGAGGAACCAACCAGGUCUUGUGCAGAAAAGAGUCCUUUGAAGAGUUCAUAGCUGAAAUCCUUAUAGUGUUUUGGAUCUUGUGCCUUAUCUCCUCAAAAGAGAGUUGGUGUGAAGGCUGAGAACAUAAUUGAUCAUAUUUGUGCUGUUCUGAGGAUGGGAAGAACUGCAUUGAGGUUAGCAACAACAAAUAUAAUGUUUUUGUUGAUGAACAUAGAAGAAGAGUGGUGUUUGAUACUGGUGUUUUUCCUGGUCUGUGAUGACAAAAGAUGGAAUUCCACCUGGUACAUAUAACAAGUUGAUGAGUUUGACAUGAGUGAUUUUGUUUGGGUCAUGAUGAUAAAAGUUACACCUCCACCCAAUAACAUAACAAGUUAAGCCUAGGGAAGAUUUGUUGUUCUGAGAUUCUGAAAGGAUUAAUUAUGAUGCUUAUCAUAGAAGUUGCCACAUCAUAUUUGCAUUUCUGAUGUAUUCACUGUCCAAUAUCUUAUCCCCUAUUGAAGAGACUUUCUUGAUGCUACUAAUGUAAAUUGGAAGGUGAGUGCCAUGUUAGCAGCAUAAAAUGCGAUAUCAGCUACACUAAUUGAUGCAUGUGGUUUUUCAAUUCACAUUAUGGAUUAGGUUUUAUUCACUUUGGAAGUUUUGGUUUUUAGAAGUCCAUUUGAGUUAUUUAGUUAGAGUUUUCUUAAAAUUAGGUAAUCAUAGUUUUAGUUUGAGCCCUAUUAGGAGAAUUUUGAGUCUUAUUAAGAGAAGUUUGAUUGUUAAUUGUCCUUUGUUUGCCUCUUAUUAACUUGUUAUUUAGUGCUCACCUAAUCGAAAUUAGUCCAUCUCAUCCACUGAUCUUGAUAAAUUCUGGAGUUCCUCUCUGUUCAGAUCACCUAUACAUAUUGAUAGACAAUGAAAGACGUAUAUAUAUGGCAAAAGAAAAGAGUACACCAGAGUAGUAUACAACAGGAACAAAAAAGCAAAGCAACAUAAGAGAGAAAAUGAAAAACAACUCUACCUUUAGAGCUCCUAUAUCAUAGCAAGAGCAGCUCAAGUCUGUAAUGCUCUCCCUUUAGAGCUCCUCUCAGAACCGCAAAAUAGGAUCACCUACAAGUGUGCAAUGUCUCUCAAUGCUACCAAUGCAACUCAGCUAAAAACUUUUACAAUAUCUUCAAAGCAAGGGGAGAAUGACAGAAAAGAUGAUCAGCAUAUGGGAAAAAGAUAUAGCAUUGUUCCAUAUCAAAGAUUGUGAAACCACAUUUGUCUGAAGUUGCUAUUGGAAAAUUAUUUUUGUGUUGUGGAGAUUAUUAAGAGAAAGGAUAGUCAAAGGCAACAUGUAUUAUGACUUUAGGAGUCUUCUUCCUCUGGAUGAGGUGGCUGAUUUAUUAUCUGUAUAUUCAUCUUUAUAAAAAUAUUUAAUAUUUUGAUUAGUAAAAGAUACUUUGUUUGCAUGGAAGAUGGUAAUAUACGAAGCACCUAUGAAAAUUAUGUUAGAAUGCAUAUGCUGACACUUGGGGGAGAGGGGGUAAUAACUGAACUAAUGCAACAUUUUUCGUUGUUGCAAUAACCCUUUCCAUUUCUAAAUAAGAUUUUCUUAAAUCAAAGAAGAAAAGAUGCUGUCACCUACAAGCACCCCUAGACUCACUACAACUACUGGGGUCCAUUCUAGGGACACCACUGCCACCACUUAGACAGUUGGACCUAACAUUGUUGCAUUACCAUCAUCAUUGUCACUGCCACCUGCAAAAACUUCCCUCUAUAUAUUUUAAAUUUUUCCAGAAAGAAUCAUGUGCACUGCAUGAAUGAUAUGUCAUGUGUGUAUUGUAGUAGCCUCCUACAUAUAUGUAGGCUUUAUUAAUUUAAUUUUUUUAUAAGAUUUAAAUAUUCAAUAUUUACACUAUUUUAUGCUAGCAUAGAUCUGCAAUUUCAUCUUUGGCUUUUACUGUGGUUUUAUCUCUGUAUUUUUCUUUGGUUUUCUCAGUUCUGUUCUUGGUUUCUAGUUUUUAAUAAUCAGCAUUAGCUGAAACUUAAAAAUGGCUUUCAAAUUGGGAUUUAGAAUUUUCUAGUGUGCAUGCAUGUAGAGUCUGUACACAUGCAUGCAUGUCUUUUGCUUCUAUUGCUAUGGUUCAAGUGUUGAGAUAUAUAGUUGGAUGGAUCCUUUCAAAUAGAAACAAAAAUCCUUUUAAUGAAGCUUACAUGACUUUAAAUAUUGUGUUAUGCACCUAGCAUGCAAUUUUCUGAUCUGGAAAUGAAUCGAUACUAUUUUAUUUACAUCAUGUCCAAUAUAGAUGUUUAUUGCUUACCUGCAGCCUUUUCAUUGCAGAAAAAAUGCAAAAGGCUUGGGAGGCAUCCAUGAGAUGCCUCCAGAGUAAGGCAUUCCCUUACAACCCUCAAUUUAAUGUGAGUUUUGUGGAAGGGCUGCCAGGGGUUAAAGAUGAAGUUCAUACUGAUUGUCGAGGUGGUAUCAUUGAAGGAGACUGCUCAUCAAGUAUAGAGUCUAUUGCACCUCCUAAUGAAGGCUACUAUGGGCCAAUGCAUCUACAAGAUUAUUAUCAACGGUCAACUUCCCAUCCAUACAUUCAAAAGGCACACCACAACCAAUUUCAUAUGGUUGAAAGCCAUUUUUAUCCCAUGAAUCACAAGUCCUGCUUUCCUAUGGAUAAUCAGCCUCACUAUGUGCCCUUUCUGCCCUUGAAGAUGUUAUCUCAAAGUCAUCCACAAGAUUUCCAUUUCCAAGAAUUUCAGUAUUUUGUGGUAAUUGACUUUGAGGCAACCUGUGAUAAAGAGAAGAAUCCUCAUCCACAAGAGAUUAUCGAGUUCCCAUCAGUACUAGUGAACAGUAUGACUGGCCAACUGGAAGAUUCUUUUCAAAUAUAUGUGCGGCCUACAUGCAAUCAUCUUCUGAGUGAUUUCUGCAAAGAGCUUACUGGUAUCCAGCAAAUUCAGGUAUGUUUAGAAUGUGAGUACCAUUCUUUCAAUUUUGUUUUUUCAUUUGAAAUGAUGAUGUCUCAUUCUGCAUGCGCUUAAACAAGCGUUGCUUGCAUACGCUUUACUCCUUUUAUUCAAUCAGCAGGCCGGCCAUGGAGUUCAGAAGAUGUGCACCUUUACUUCACUGUGUUAUUGCGUCUCAAUGUUGUUGCUGAUUGAGUACCUGCUGUAUUGCUAUACUAGGGACAUUUCAGCAAAUUCUUCCUGUUCUUGACUAGAUGGUGCUUUAGUUCCUUAUUUUUAUUGUUCAAUUUGGUGGCUGAAUUCAGAGGUCUAAAAUUUUGUUAACAUGUUAGCUGAUGCCCAAUGAUACUCAACUGUAUAUGGUUCCAUUCUCCCAUACUUAGCACUCUGUAGCAAUGAAAGUAAGAUGCUUCACCCAUAACAUGAGUGAUCAGUUUUUUUUUUUUUUUGUGUCAAAAACAUAUAUUAAAAAGAUGAUAGAUGAUGACAGAGGAUAUGUUCUUUUUUUUUUUUUGCUCUUGCUGUAAACAAUGAAAUUAUUUACCCAUUGGUGGUUUUCACAACCAUCAAAUCACCAAAGUUUCUAACUUUUAUUUUGGGCCAGUUCUCUCCAAUGUGCCUCUCUCAGCAGCAUUACUGGAGCCAUAAUAUGUGAAAUUGGACUCAGUAGUGAUCUUGUUAAUAAGCUUUUUGACUUGGGGACUAACAAGACUUUGCUUUUUUUUCUUUACUGGACAAGUCCCUUUAUAAUAAGGCUUAUUAGUAGUCCUUAGUGUGACAGUGUCCACAACAGCUAGAUUUUUCAGAACCAGUGAAUAUUUAUGAAAUUGAUGUAAGUAGCAUACUCAAUGUGCAAUGUAUCUCAAUAGGGACAGGAAGCAAGGUAUGAAAAUGAUAGGCAGGGAGUAAGAGAGCAUGAAAUAGAACAGAAAAAUGAUUCCUUUGAGACUAGACAUGAGGAGAAUGAAGAAGAUGAAAAAAAAAAAAAAAAAGGAAGCUGAAAGGGAGAGAGUACUUGAAAGAGAAACUUGAAACAUAGUGAAACUAACAUGAAUAGAUUAAACACUCUUUUAAAGCUACUAAAGCACAAGAAAUUGCUGAGGGAGAUAUGGUACUAACUCUGUUGAGCAUAACAGCAGUUUGGGAAGCAAAGAGAUGUGAUAGAGAGAGAAAGAGAGAGCUGGAGUUUGUAGUUGAAAGGAAAUGAGUUUAAGGAAGUUCUAGAAAGCUGGGAUCAAGCAAGCUAAAAGAGUCAUUUCCUUGCAAAGAGGAAAAGUAGAAGCUCUCUCUGAAAUGAUGGUCAACUAAUGGAAAUUAAUUCCCUGAUAAAAUCUUUAGACAACAUGAGAAGUUGGUCCUAUUUUAGAAACCACUCUGGAGGUCCUCACAAUUAUGGAGAAUUCCAAGGUAACUAUUGGACUCUUAAUUUUAAUAAAUUUGUAUAAUUCAAAUUGAGUUCCUUUUUUAGUGAACUUGAGGUAUUGGAUUUUCUUGUAUUCUGACAUUAUAAUCCAUUAUUUCAUCACCAGAUUGGCUCUUAUUGAUUCAUAUAAAUAUAAAGCUUCCCAGUUAUCUUAAUAUACACAAUGCCUUCAGGUGGACAAUGGUGUUCUCCUAAGCGAAGCUCUACUCAUGCAUGAUAGAUGGCUUGAACAGAAAGGGAUUAAGCACACCAACUUUGCUGUGGUGACAUGGUCAGACUGGGAUUGUCGGGUGAUGUUGGAAUCUGAGUGCCGAUUCAAGAGGAUCCGAAAGCCACCAUAUUUCAACAGGCAAGUUUAAUCUCCUUUGAUGAGUGUUUGUUUGGAUUUCCUUAGGAAAUGGGAUUAUUCCAUUGUGCUUUAUAUCACAUUUCAAAAGUCAAGUUGAUGGUUUGAAAUUGAACCAUUACAUAAUCGGUAAGAUGCUUAUGAGCUAGAAGUGAUUUCAUUUCUCCUUGUCCUAAUUUUUCCUUAAUCAAAGGUUACCAAAAAAUGACUACCCUUUUGUGGAGGAAAACAAAUGUGGCUCAUUUUGAAUAGUAUGGAAAUGUAAUGAUUAAAUCUUCAUUGUACUUAAGAAAAUGUGUUGGUCGUAAGAAUAUUAAUGUGGGAUUGUUUUCUUCUAGAAUGUUUUGUUGGAGACAAGAAAAAUCAAAGAUAUGCAUAUUAUUCUAGCACUUGUUACUCUUGCUCCUUACUGGGGAAGUACUCAUGUUUCACAUGACAUUUAAAUACAAAAUAGUAAUUAAUUUAUAUGAUUCUAUAAUGUUAGGCUAUAUUAACUCUCCCUAAAAGUUUAAGUUGUUAGGGUUUAGGCCCACAAUGUAUACUAGGCUAACAACCCCACACAUAUGUGGCCCCACCUGUAUUGGAGAGACAAAUUAGCAACAAUAGUUGUAGAUAAAUAGAUGGAAAUAAUAGUGAUGGAGAAGAACCUUUAGGUGUGACGUUCCCCCCUUUAUUCUCAAGCAUGAUUUUAAAUUCUUGGGUUUUGGUGAGGGUGGGCUUUAUCAUGUGGGAAGCUACCUGGGGGAGGAUAUUAAUGUUGGACCAGCUUAAAAGGAGAGAGUGGCGAAUUCUGAAUAGAUGCUAUUUAUAAGAAGAAGAAGAAAUAGUUGAUCAUAUCCUACUGAAUUGCACAAAAGCAGUUAUGUUGUGGUAGCUUGUCUAUGCUUUUUUGGGAUUGAAUGGGUGAUUCACUUCACAAUAAGAAAGGCCCUUUUGGGCAUAUAUCUUUUGUUGGGAGGAAGGGUAUGAAAGCCUGGAAAGCUCCUUUCUGUUUAUUUUAGACCAUUUGGAAAGAAAGAAAUAUGAGAGCUUUUAAAAAUAUUGAAAUAGGGGACCAAGCUAUCAAGCAAUCCUGCAUGCAUAUUUUUUAGGAGUGGGUUAGAGUGUACAUAGGUGAUAGCUCUUUUGAAUUGGUGUCAGGCUUGAAAAUAGCUCUUUGUCCAUUUUGAACUUCAUUGAUAGCUCUAAGUGAUGUCCUUUGUAUACAAUGUGUAUACUUUUGUGCACUAUUUUGUUAGGCACUUUUAAUAUAAUUUUCUUUACUUGUCAAAAAGGAAAAAAAAAGGGGAAACUAACGAUAAGAGAGACUUGAAGUUGAGACCUCUAGCUCUGAUAUAAUGCCAAAGAAGAAAAAAAGAAGAGAGAAAAUAAAAAAAGAAUGAGAAAAAGUAAAGUCAUAAAAAACCAUGAGUGGUAUCACAAAUUUAUAGUUACAGGUUUUAAUGCAAAAUGACUAUAGUAUCUUUCAUAAGUAUGCUAAGAUGCAUAAUGAACAAAACACUAAUAAUACUCUCCCUCAAAUUGAGGCACAUAUAAAUAUUGGACCUAGCUGGGAACACAAGAGUAAAACUUCUUUUUCCUAAAGCUUUAGUACAAGUAAAGGUAUCUCUAACCUGAUCUUUUGAUUUGACAUAAGGAAUUAUAAGCUUCUUGUUCACCAUAACUUUUCUGAUGAAGUGACAAUCAACUUCAAUAUAUUUGUCCUCUCAUGGAACAUAGGAUUAUUAGCAAUAUGUAAUUAUGUAUAGUAGCUUGAUUGUCACAAUGCAUCAUCACCUUUGGUUUGUCAAUAAGAAAUCCCAAUUCUUGUAACAAGUUCUUAAAUGACUUAAGUUCACAAUUACUGUGAGCCAUAGCUCUAUAUUUACCACAAACAUAAGUACAAUAAUCAGUAAUAGAUCCUCUUUCAGUGGAAAAGCCCACCCAAUCUGCAUCAGAAUAUCUCUCUGACACAAAUUUGUGUCGAAGGAUUUUUUCUAUAGAUAAUCCCCAUAUCAACUAUGCAUUUUAAAUAUUGGGGGUUCUACAAACAACUUCCUAAUGAACAUUCUUUGGAGUUCCCAUGAAUUGAUUCAUGACAUUAAUAGCAACCGUAAUAUCUUGUCUAGUGACAGGCAAGCAUAUUAGCUUCUCAAAUAGGCUACUGUAUUUCUUUCUACCACUAAAUUCAAAUCUUUCAUCUGCAUCAAAUCUGAUAUUUUGCUCUAUAGAGCAAGCUUAGUUCCCAGCAUUUUAGUUUCAGUAAGUUUAACACAUUCCCAUUGUGAUAACAUUACUCCUUAGUCCUUCCUCACCAUAAGCUUCUUCUAUUAUGAGGAAGGUAGCAUAGUAAUCCAAGAUCUUUGGGUUGAAAGCUUCCUCACCAUAAGCUUCUUCUCUUAUGAGGAAGGUAGCAUAGUAAUCCAAGAUCUUUGGGUUGAAAGUUCAUUCUUAGGUGGUUCUUUAUUUAUUUAUUUAUUUUAAUCAGAAACAACAUACGUAUUAUGUAUGGAUAAAUAUAUACCUAAGAAGAAUGAGGAACCUCCCUAAAAUUGCAAGUAAUAAAAAAUGUGUGAUUGAAACCUCCGAUAUACCAAGGAGGCCUAUGCAUCAGAAUAGUACCAUAUGGGAGUAAUAUACAAAAAGAGCAUCACAUCACUCCAAGAUGACAUAACCUUCUCCUUCCAAAAGAAACCUAAUCAAUGUUCUUCUCUUUGCUAACCAAACCUUUUUGAUCUACACACCAAAUAUCAGUUGAUUUGGACAACAUUGAGAUGAAUGCCCUUCAAUACUGUGGUACAUGAGGCCCAAAAGGAGGACUAGAAAUGAACGAGAUCCCAUAGAGUCUCUAAAUGCCUCAUCUUAACAAAUUCUAGCAUUUCUUUUGUGCCAAACAACCUAAAUUAAUGUGAAACAUGCAGUUUGCCAAAGGACUUUGCCUUUAAUGGUGCUCCCUAUGAGAUGGUUAUCAUGUCACAUAUUCAUGAUGUACUGUUGGUCAAUUUGAAUAGUUUGUGCCAUAGUCUUAAAGUCAAUGAACAAUGUAAGAAAAGAUGAUCAAUUGUUUUUGUACUCUCCAUACACAAGAUGUAAUAAUUAGCACUAAGGGCUUUGUAGGAUCUUUGCAAUUGUAGCAUGUGAUUGGUGUUUACCUUCUUGUGUGCCACUAGUCAAUAAGGGCUUCGACCUUAGAUGAGAAUUUAGAUUUCUACGAAAAAUUAGUUGGAUAGAAGGAAUUGGAUUUGAUGGAUUGUAAAUAAUCUUAAAGAAAAUAAUGACCAAGCUCCCAUAUCUAGGAUGGAUGGAGGACAUGAGUCUUUCAAAAAAGGGGUCAUCUAACCAAGUAGCACUCUCUGUUGAUAUAGAUGGCUAAUCCAAUCCUUUUAACCUCCAAGAAUCUCCCGAGGGUCUCGAAUAUGACUUUUCAAAAAAGUGCAAUAUCUCCUUUGAAAUACUUUCAACAUUCUCCAAAAUUGGCCCUUCUUCAUUCAUCAUGGUCUUGAUGAACUUCCUAUUGCACCUACCAUCAACCAACCCUAUGGAAAAAAUAGAGUUUCAAUCCCUUUCUUUUUACUCAUCUCAUGCUCACCUUCUGUCUCCAAUGCAUCUCUUCCCUUAACAACAAAUCCUUUAGCUCCCCCUUUCUCAAGGUUAAAAUCUUAGGAGAUAGAUUCCCUUCUUGCUCAAUAGCACCAAUGCUAGCAAUAUCUAUUAAGGAUAUUGUCCUUCCUCUUCUUUACCCUCUGAAAGACACCUUAUUUUAUUCUUUCAGUUUUGAUUUAACAAAUUGUAGCUUUUUCAUGAACCCAUGACCUUCCCACCUUACACUCUAGAACUUUCUCCACCCAAAGCUCAAUCUUUCGUUGAAAUGUGGGUGGAGUAACUUCAUGUUUUCAAACCUAAAAGGAGUUGGUGCCCACUUAAAUGGAUUAGUGUCUAAAAUAAUUGGGCAAUAAUCAAUGGUCAACCUAGAAAAAACUUCCUAGAGGCUUUGAUUUGACCUUAAAUUAAUCAUGAUUGAAAAAAGAAAUACCACUUGUGCACAACUAGUUUGAAUCACAUAUCAUCAAUACCCUUCCCAUUUCCCUAUAAGUUAGAAGAGAAGCCCAUUCCUUAUUCCUAACUAUCAAUUUAACUAUCCACACAUUGACAAUAAACCUUUUAUCAUAUCUCUCUCUCUUUGUUUCUUGAAGCAUCACAAUGUUUGGGGAUUCAUGAUGUAGAAAAUCCUUAGCAAACCACCCCCCUCCUUUUUUUUUUUUCUUUUUAAAUUUCCUAGAUCCCAAUCCUCAAGUAGUCCCUCUAAUGAUCUUCAUAACAACACUUACUACCCAUCAACCUUUUUUUUUUUUGAUAAGUUACCCAUCAACCUUUAAACCAGCUCCUGCAGAACACGAAAACCUGUGCGUGAAGUUCUGUACUUUCUCCUGAGGUACUAUCCAUAGAUUUUGCCUUGUUACUCCCCAUGGGUAUGACAUUCUUGCAAUACUCGACUAGAUUGAGUUUGAUGGUGGUGAAAACCAAUUGAACUAUCCAUUUUACUAAGGGUGGGACCCUUUUAUAUGAAAACCUUCUAUGAGGAGGAAUCUCGUUCAAUAGGGUGAUCUAUGAUUGAGGUAUGAGUUUCCUUAGGGACGCUAGGUAGUGAGGGAGUUAUGGAGAGGAACACCAUUAGAUACUUGGCUGGGACAAGUUGAAGGGGACUCAACACAUACGUAAUUAGGACUGCCAACAUUAUACACAAGCAUUGUACCAAAAUUAUUUUUAGUGGAAUUCAUGACAGGGAUAGUUGGUGGACCAGAAUUGGACAAAGAUGGUUGCAUUGAGUUGGGAAAUAACAUUAUCAUAUGUUUUUAAAGGAUGAGUUAAUAUAUUUGCUUUGUUUACCUUUAAAAAAAAAAUGUUAUUAAAGGAUGAGAUAUUAAGAUAAGGGGAGGGGGCUAACUGGGAUUAAGGGUUGAAAGAUAGUAGUCAUGGUUACCUUUCUCAACACAUCGACAAAUCAUAAGUCCUAUCCAAGUUUUGGCCCUUGGCACUAGUUCUAGAUUUGAAGGUGUAGCUUGAACUAUAGGACCAUAGUAAGAAUGGCCUCUAACUUUGUCAACCUCUCUAAUGUCUAUAAUAGUCACUUCUCGGUUAUAUUCUAUUUCGCCCCACAUUGGGAUCGUAGCGGGACCCUUCGUGGAAGUCAAAUUCUAAGGGGAUUGUGCACCCUCUCUCCUUCCUAUUGAGCCUCUUAUCCUCCUUUGUGAGAGAUUUCCUCUAAUUGGGGGUUAUAUCCAAUCUCCUUGAUGCCAUUUGCUGAUACAAAUCCUUCCCCUCUUAAAUCCCUUAGGAUCCCAUUGAAAAAUUCUUGAACUCCCUUAGGAUCCUAUCAAAAGAUUCUUAGAUUGGAAUCAAACCCUUGGUUGAUGGAGGUAAGCUUUUUCUUCUUAUCUAGUGAAUAUUGUGAGAUUUAGGAGUGAUGGAGCUUGACCUUUGCUCACACAACUCCUGUAUGUAAAUUUGGGAUGGAUCUCCUAUGGGUAUGAUUGGGGAUACUAGGCCUUCAAAUAAUAAUAACUACUAGCUCAUACCAUAGUUUGGGCCUUUCCUUGUCAAGGACACCACUUCAUUCUGGUUUGCUUCUUGAUCUUAGCCCACUACAAGACUUGGGAUCCUUUCAGAAAGAUAGGCUUGCUUCUCUAAUCUUCUCUCCUUCCUUUUUGCCUGACUUGCUUCUGUUGAAAAGGAAUUCUUGGAGUCUCGAAAAGAAUAGGCUUGGCCCUCUUGAAGAUUUGUUGAAACUCGGAUUUUUUUCCUUAGGAAAAGAUUAGGCCUUGCAAACAAUUGAUCUUCUUAUAAGUAAAGAAGGCACCGCAUGCUCGAUUAAUAGAUCUUUAGAGUCUUGGAAAUGGGCUAACGCUACACUAUUGCUCUGCCUUUGCUGAGAGGCCCCCCUCCAUUUGAAACCAGAGAUAGUGGAUCAUAGUUGUCCUUCACUAAGACUCUUCUCUUGCCAUGUGUCCCAUUAUGAGACUCUCUCCUAGCCCUUUGAAGAGCAUUAGAAUGUUGAUAUUUGCCACGUGUCCCACAUUGAGACCCAUUCCUAGCCACGUGAUAUGCCCCACUGUGCUGAUUCAUGCCACAUGUCCUUGAUAAUAACUCCUUUCUCCCUUGAGUUGGCUCAACCUUUCCAAACCACCUUUCAUCUUCAUCUUUGAUCACUACAAUAGAGAUUGUAAACAUCCAUGCCCCAUCCUUCACCUCCAUCAACCCGGGCAAGACAGUGUGUUCCUUCAUCUCUACCCUCACCCUAACUUUUGAUAGAUCAUACAACUUCAGAGUGCACCAAUCAAUCUCUACCAUGAUCCCCUGAACCUCCACAAUCAUCUUCAAAUGUUCUUUAGACCACAAAUGAAAUGACAAUCCAUGUAAUUUAAUCCACCCUUUUUAUGAACUUACCUAAAACCAUUAAAAGUUUUCCCUAGGCGACCAUCUUCUCACUAAAGUUUUGUACUUGCCCUUAACCAUGACAUGCCCCAAAUCAUGUAUAAAGGAAGCUUCCUCGAUUGUCUUCGCAAAGAGUAACCCCUUUGUUGUUGUGAAAGGGAUAAUAGACACCAUGCCCUUUGAACCUAGAGCUUGACUCACCUCAACUCAGUUAACAUUAAACAUAGGGUAUUUGCGCAUCACUACUCUCACCCACCUCUCGAUUGGAAUAUAAUGUCCUCUCCUCAAUCCUUCCUAUUGAACAAUUCUUGCAUAGGAAUGAUUGAAUUGUGCUUUCUUUCAACAUAAAUAGGGCAUUGCAUCUUUGUCUGGUUAAUUCCGUUAACGAAUGAGAUCUCAGCCUGCUAACUAGCUAUGUGAAGGUGAGCCUCCACAGCCAGCUUCUUAGAGGGAUUAUGGCCGCUUAGGCCAAGGAAGUUUGAGGCAAUAACAAGUUUGUGAUGCCCUUAGAUGUUCUGGACCGCAUGCGCACUACACUGAUGUAUUCAAUGAGUCUAUAGCCUUGGCCGACAGGCUCAGGUAAUCUUUGAAAUUUCAUCGUGAUGGGGAUAGAUCAUUGCAAUUGUUGGUCUUCAACGAUGAAUUCCUAGUAAGUGCGAGUCAUCAGCUUGCGUUGACUACAUCCCUGCCCUUUGUACGCACCGCCCUGUUGCUCCUACCGAUUGAAUGGUCUGGUGAAGUGUUCGGAUCGCAGUGAUGUGGGUGGUCCGCUGCCCGCGACAUCAUGAGAAGUCCAUUGAACCUUAUCAUUUAGAGGAAGGAGAAGUAGUAACAAGGUUUUCGUAGGUGAACCUGCAGAAGGAUCAUUGUCAAACCUUCGAACGAACCGCGAACACGUUUUAACACUCUGAGGGGGGGGGGCGGGCCCACCACUCCGCCACCAUAAACUACCAUGUUAGGUGGAGACUCCAUCCUUGAAGAAAUCACAUGUUUUGAUUUCUUCGAUCCAUUGCCUUUCUCACCCUCUAAUAUUACUAAAAAGGUAGACUUUCAGUUAGAUGGCAGCUUAGAUCACUUGAUAAACUUGUCAUUUGUGUUGAAUUGCACUUCCAUUAGAUGAACCCUUGUCUUUCCUUAGUAUUUUCUGUUGAAAUCCAUGAAGCCCUCCACCUCAACUGCUUCCCCAAUCGCUCUAGUAACCAUCGAACUUCUUUCUUUUCAAAACCCAUAGAGAAAAUAGAACCUAGGCUUUGCUCUAACACCAAUAUCCAUAUCCCUCUAACCUUGCCUUCAAAUCUUACCUCGAAGGUUUUCCUUUCCACACUGCACAACCUUCUCGUACUCUUCCCUAUAUGGUAUAAAAUGUUAUUUUUUAGGUGGUUCUUUACUUUUUUAAUUCCUACAGAAUUGCUUCCUCAAAUGACAGUGUCAUCCAUAUGUAGCAUGGGUAUCACUAUUUUAGACUUCCUUUUAGGAACAAACAUUGAGUGAUCUGACCGACAUUGAUAAAAGCCAUUUGUUGUUACUACAACAUUGAACUUAUCAAGAUAUGCAGGAGAAGAUUGCUUUAACCCUCAGAUUCUCCUCUUUAAACAUCAUGCUUGUAAUCCGUACUCCCCUUAAGCAAUGAACCCAAGUGGUUACUCCAUGAUAGAUUUUUCCAAUUGAAGUUGGUGACUAAGGGAAUAAAGAUAUGGAUUAAAUCAAGACAGGAAGUUAGAGAAAAUGUCUCAAAAUAGUCUACCCAUAAGCGUAAGUAUGGCCUUUAACAAGAAGUUCAACUUUGAGCCCUGCUCAAUUGUGUCCUCUAGUUGAUAUUUUAUGGGAUAUACCCAUUUACACACUACUAGUGUUCCUGGUAGGUAAAGUAGUGAGUUCCCAUGUGCCGCUAUUUACCAGGGCAUUCAUCUCCUCUAUAACUUUCUUCCAUUCUGGAUGACUCAAGGUGGCUUGAUAAUUUUUAGGGGUAGAGAAAACAGACAAAGCAGUUGAUAAAGCACAAUAUUGAGAGAGAUCAUGAGUGGUAAAAUAACUAUCAAGGGGAUAUUGAAGACAAGGAUGUCCAUCUUUACAAAGAGCCAUGUAUAAUUUGGAAGGAUCGGUCACAAUAACCGAUGGUAGAGUAGAUAGGAUUGAGCAUGAAAGAGACUAAUUAGGAGCAGUUGAACCAUGGGUCCAUUGAUAUGCCAACAACAAUUUAGAAGGGGCUGAGGUAAUAGUUUCUGAAAUUUGUGAAGGAUGAGGAGGUGAAGAACAAAGUUUUGAGUGUAGCGAGGAUCUUGUAGAAGAAAAAAGGAAGUAGACUCAAGAAAAGUCACAUUUGCAUUGACAAAGCUCCUAUGACAGAUAUGAUCAUAACAUUUAUGCCUUUCUAAGUUUGAGAAUAUUGAAAGAAACACAUUUGAUGGUACAAGAUGAUAAGUUAUCUUGAUUUGGAGGACAAUGUUUAACAAAACAACCAAAGAUACAAGGUGGAAGAGCAAAUGAAGGCUGAUCGAGACACAACAACAAAUAUGGAGAAUACCCUUUUAAUACAAAUGGGGGUAACCGAUUAAUCUAAUAGUAAGUAAUUAAGAUGGCAUCCUCCCAAAACUGUUUAGGAACGUGCAUGUGGAACAUGAGACAUUGGCCAACAUAAAAAAAAUAGUGGUUUUUUCUUUCAGCAACCUUGUUUUGUUAUGGUCUGUACACAAGAAGUUUGAUGAAUAAUACCACAACUUGUGCAAAAAGAAGUCAAUGCAUGGUUUUUAUAUUCAAGGACAUUAUCUGAAUGAAGAAAACAACUAAAAUAACCAAACUAAGUUUUCAUUUCAUUAAAAAUAUAAUGAAAUACAUGAGGAACUUCAAAAAGUUCUUUAUGCAAGUAGAAUUAUAUAACAUGUGAAUAAUCAUUGACAAAACUGAUAAAAUAGCAAAAGCCUUGAAUAUGGGGAACUUGACAUGGGCCCAAAGCAUCAUAAGGAGCCACUUUAAAACAAGAGGACUCUUUUUUAAGUCGCACGGGAAAGGAAGAACAAUGAUGUUUCCCAUACACAUAAGAUUGACAUUUUAACUGAUAAAAUGAAAUGGAGACACAGAGGAGGACAAUGCAACAACAUGAAAGUAACCAUCAUUGUGAAGCUGCUACCAAUCUUCUUCUUUAUGAUCAAAUCCUUAAAAACACAAUAAAAAAGAAGAAUCGUACUAUAAUAAUUUUGUUGUUUUGUUAAUUGACUAAUAGAAGCAAGAUUAAUUGAUACUUUAGGCAUAUAUAGCACGGGUCAAGAUGAAGAGGUAAAGAAAAAGUAGGAUGAGAAACACCUAGACCACUAUCCACAGAAGAAAAACCAUGAGCCAAUCAUAUGGAAAAAUUGUUGAAGAUGGAUUAAGUAUGGAAAAUUUUGAAGAUGUCCCAGACAUAUGGAAGGCAGUGUCAGAGCCAAUAAUCUGAGGGUUAGGGUUAUGAGAUGAAAGAAGUGCAGUACCUGUAUGGGCCAUUGUAGCCAUGGGAGUGUUGGUUUUAGUAGCAGAAGGGGCCUUAGAUGAUGUUAGCACCACUUGAAUAGUAGAUGGCAUAGAUUCUGAUGCAUCCCAGUCCUGUUUCCCAGAUUUGCCCUAGCAUUUGUCGAAAUAAUGACUAGUCUUACCAUGGUGAAUAUAGUAUUGACCCGUUAAAAGUGCAAGAACGUGAGGACACUUUAUGUUGGAAAGAAGAUAGGAGAGGAUUGUUCAGCGUCAAGAUUCAUCUUGUAAAAUGGCUAGUUGUUUGCUUGGAUAAAAGUAAAGAGGGUUUGGGGGUAAAAUGCCUCUCUACUCUUAAUAGAUCUCUUUUGGGUAAAUUGAGUUUACACUUUAUGGUAGAAAAUGAGGCUUUUUGGUAUCAAGUUAUUAGUAGGAAGUAUGAAGUGGAAGAAGGGGGGCAGUAUACUUGGGAAGGUAGAGAGGGUUUUGCAGUGGGGUUGUGGAAGGAGAUUAGAAAGGAAGGUUGAUGGGGAAAAGUCUUUUAAAGUUUAUUCAAGGAAGAUAGGGAAGACCUAAGUAAACUUUAAGUAAGAUUAAUAUUAAUUAGAAUUGAAUUGGGAUUGGUAUUUGUUAGAGUCUAAUUAGGAUUAGCUAGUUGAGUUAUAAUAUAAUUAGAAUUUGAGUCAUGAUAGGUUAUUAGAAUCCUAGUAGACUUUGGAUGUUAUUAUUAGAAUUAUAAUCAUAAUAGGUUAUUAGAGUCCUAGUGGACUUUGGAUUUCUUAGAGAAGCUUAUAAAUAGACUAAUCAAUGUAAAUCAAAGGAAUGAUUUGAUAUGAAUAAUAUUAUAUUUUCUUUCAUUGUAAGGUUGCAACCCUCAAUGGUAAGAUUCCAUUUAUUUUCUUCUAGGUGAGACUCCUAGAAAGCCUUAAUGAGACUCUAAGGUUUUCCAUUUUUUCUUCAUUGUUUCUUUUUUCUCUCUAUUUCUUAUCUUAUAAUUUUCUCUACCAUAAAAUUUAUUUUUUGUUCCUCUCCUUGCACCCUAAAAAAUAAAACCCUAGCCCACCUACCCUUGAGUGUAGGCAACCAUCCUAGGGUUGUCCUACGUCAAAGGUUCUCGGUUGAGCAACUACAUUGGGUUUUCUGUGGGUAAUGGAAGUAGAAUCAGAUUUUGGUUGGAUCCUUGGUGUGGUGUUGAGGCUUUGUGCAACUCUUUCCCCUCUUUGUUUGCUUUGGUGGUUUCUAAAGAAGACUGGGUGGCGGAGGUGUGGGACUCUUCGGUUGAGGGGGGGAGUUGGAGUCCUCAUUUUUUGAGGGCCUUCAAUGAUUGGGAGGUAGUCUUGGUGGAGCGGUUGCUCUGGACAAUACAAGGAAUUAGAGUUAGUGCAAAUUUGGAGGAUAGGGUGAUUUAGAAAAAGAUAAAAAAUGGGUUUUUCAUAGUUACGUCUCUUUAUAGUGCUGAAGAACCAGGAAAUACAGUCCGGUUUCCAAGAAAAAUAAUUUGCAGCCCUUUUGUUCCUCCAAGAAUGGGUUUUUUUUUGCUUGGGAAGCCUCUUAGGGGAAAGUUUUAACUUUGGAUCAACUCUAAAGGAGGGGUUAGUCCCUUGCCAAUAGAUGUUUCUUUUGUCUAGUCGAAGUGGAGUCUACUAAUCACAUCUUAAUUCAUUGCACGAAGACUAGAGUUUAGUGGGAGUUAUUAUUCGCUCUCUUUGGGGUGACUUGGGUUCUCCCUUGUUUGGUAAGGGAGACUCUCCUUGGUUGGUUUGGGUCAUUUGUGGGCAAGAAGCGCAAAAAAGCUUGGAAGCUGGCUCCUUUAUGCCUUUUUUGGGUGGUGUGGAAAGAAAGAAAUGUGAUAGCGUUUGACAAAGAAGAGUUUUCAGUUCAUAGAUUGAAGCAUUGUUUUGUAUGUAGUUUAUGGUCUUGGACAAAGUUGUAUAUAGAUGUUUGCCCUUUAUCUUUAAUCGACUUUUUUGAUUGGUUGGGCUUUAGGUGAGAGCGGGUGAGGUUUUUGUUUUUCCUCCUGUUUUGCUCUUUUUUGCCUUUUGGCACCUAUUGUGUACUUUCUGUAUGCCUUGGGUUGCUUUCCGGUCUUCCUUUUUCUAAUUAAUCUACUCUCUACUGUGUUUAUCCAUCCAAAAAAAAAUAUUAUUGUUCUCUAAGUGGGGAGAAUAAUUUUGCUUUUCUGGGAAAAGAGGUUUAGGGAUCCUGUGCUCCUCUUAGAACUUUCUUUUUUGCUUGGGAAGCUGUUUGGAGGAAAAUCCUAAUUGUAGACACCUUAAUGAAGAGGGGAUGACAAAUGGUCAAUAAAUAUAAUCUUUGUAAAGAGAGUGAAGAAUCAACCAAUCACAUUCUGAUUCAUUGUGCCAAGACAAGAGAACUUUGGAUCUUUUUAUUAGUCCUCUUUGGAGUGACUUGGGUAUUUCCAGUUUCAUUAAGAAAUCUCCUCCUUCAAUGGAAAGUUAAGGGGUUUCAAAAGAAGAAUAGAGCAAUUUGGUGCUUGGCUCCCAUUUGCUUAUUUUGGUGUGUUUGGAAAGAAUGUAAUCGAAGAACCUUCAAAGAUGAAGAACUCUCCGACCAGGGUUUAAAAGAUCUCUUCUUUCAGACUCUUUUUGAGUGGACUAGGGAUUCUUUGGAGCUGGAUUUCCCCUCUAUGUUGAUUUUCCUAGAUACUCUUUGUUGUGGUUAACUUUGCUUUGUUUUGUUUGUGUGGUCUUUCUUUGUUUGAGGUGUGUUUGGCUUGUUUUUGUGUAUAUAACCUAUAUACGUAGGGCGCACCCCCUCCUUUUUAGGCGCUUAUUUUUACAUGUUCUUGUUGUCUAUAAAAAAAAAACAGUAUUGGUCAUCCCUAACAAGGCCUCCCACUGCAUAAUGAGCUUGAUCACAAGGACUAUUAACACCUCUUCCUCUAGUGCUAGAGGAAACAUUAAUCAUUGAAGGGGAGAAUAGAUGUUGCUGAUUGAAGGUAAGGUUUCACUUGAGACUAAGUCUUCACUUUAUAGUAGAUAGGUUGAAGACCAAAUAAAAAUUUAGCAAGUACAAACCCUUUUUGCUAGCUUUUGCAAUUUUCCAUAUUACUAUGAUUGAUAUUUAGUGCUUCACUCAUAAUUUUAAGAGUCCUAUCAUAUUCACCAAGAGGUUUAUCAUCCUAUUUGAGGCCAAAAAUAUUUUCAUGUCUGAUAAAUGUUUUUAUCUUUUCCGACAAGUAAGGAAACGAUACAUUAAAAAGUGCCAAAAGAAUGGUGCCCAAAGUACACAAGAUGUAUACAAGAGCACUAAAGGGCUAAAAAUAAGAUGACGGGAAACCAAAAACAUUCCCUCCCCUUGCUUACAAUCUCACCAAUCUACAAAGUCUUGCAAAGAAAGGAUUUAAGCUCUUGAUCAAUAAGCUCUACAUUAUCAAAAGCCUUCCUAUUUCUCUUUUACCAAAUAGUCCAGAGCAAGCACAAAGGAGCGGCUUUCAUGCUUGUUUCCAUUGCUUCCUGACAAAGCAACUGUUCCAACUUAAAAGAGUUGAUUCACCAAAAAAAUCAACACCCAUGCAAUACUAAGUAGGGAGAAGACUAACUGCCCUAGAAUUCUUUCCUUGGAACAGUGGCGGAGGAUGUGCUCAAUAGAUUCUUCCUCACCUUUGCACAUAAAACACCUAUUCACCAAAAUCCAACCUAUCCUCAUUAUCUUGUCCUUGGUUAAAAUACCUUUCCAAACUAAUAGAUGUUUCCAUCUUGAGGAUAAGUUUCUUGCCUCACAGACAAUGUCCCGAGUUUCUUUAGCAAUACCCAAAAACAUCAUAUUAGCACUAACAUAAGGAGACAUGCUAUUCAAUAAUCACAACAUGAUCAUAAAAUGAUCCUAUUGCCACUUUUCAAAAUUAGGGACUUCAAAUCUGGAGGAUCAAAAGGAGAUAGCAUCCCUUAUGCACCAAUAUGUACUUUUAACUGCCUUAGACACAUAGGUCAAUUCAAUUCAUUUUAUUGAGAUAAUUUGUAAAUUCAUAGGAUCAGGAGAUAGAGAUCCACUCUGUGCCUUAUCGGGGAAACAGUAGGAAGAGGCAAGCAGCAACCAUGAGGUAGAAGACAACAGCAGCUAUGAGGUAGUAGACAGCAGAACAUAGUCACUUGACAGAAUUAUCAUUUCCUAUAGUAGCAGAAAAUAAAGGUAUAUAGGCCACAGACCAAAAAGGAGAUUUCUAGAUCAGCAUAUGGUUCACAGUAUAGGACUCCCAUGGUAGGUAGUAGUAAGUCAUAGACCAAAAGCAAGGCAAAUUGCAUGUUUCUAAUCCAUAAAUACAGCAGACUUCUAUCAUCAAUAACCAAUAGAAACAGCUAGGGGCAAACAAAAAGUUGCAGAAAAUAGAACUGAAUAUGAGAAUUGGAGAGGAAACAGAAAAUAGGAACAAAUCUACAUAGGCAACCAGAUCUGAUUUUCUGGAAAAAAAAUAAAAAAUUGCAAGAUUCAAAGUGAUUUGAAUCUUUCAGUAGAUUAGAGUGGUUGCUACAUGGUGUGUAGGGCUUAGGGUGAAUUGCUGCAGGAUAGUUAGGGUUUAAACAGAGUUGCAGCAUGGUUGCUGUUAGGUAGUUAACACCUUUUAUGCCUUUUCUUAUCCCCAAACAGGAUUUUGUAACUACCUGAUAAGCUGGAAAAAGGGUCUGCUGCCUAAUAAAGCCCUAGAAAGUAAUAGACGCUAGCUCUGUCAUUCUCUUGAACUGCUUGUAACAACUAAUAAAACAAAUUGCAACUUAAAAUGACAAUCAUAUUCGCAUCUUACAUGUGUAUUACUUUCUCUCUGUCUCUCUCUCUCUUAUUUUCCUUUUUCCACUUGUGGUAUAUGAAAACAUGUCAGAAAAUUAUUAUCCAAAACGACAUUCUAUGCCAUUUGACACAUUUUAAUGCUCCACCUUGUUCACAUUUAAGAAUGGUCCUUGAUAGGAAAAUGCUAGUUUUAAUGUCUCUUUUACCAUCUUUUCAUUUUUACCAGACUUUACAGUUGAUGUGCCAUCACCACAACAGGUUGUUAUUUGCCUGAAUGUGCUGAAGUGUUAAUAUUUUGCACUUAUGUAAUGUUGUCACAUUCAUGGUCAUCUCAGAUGGUAAACGAGGUCAUUAAACUAGUGCUAGUACAUCUCCCUUCUUAAUGCAUGCAUAUCAUACACCAAAAGAAAAACUUGUGAUGGACUAUUCUCUUUAUUUCAUCCUUUUUCAGGUGGAUUAACUUGAAGGUUCCAUUCCAUGAGGUAUUUGGCAACAUCAGGUGCAACCUAAAAGAAGCUGUCCAGCGGGCUGGGCUACUGUGGGAAGGCCGUGCUCAUUGUGGUUUGGAUGAUGCUAAGAACACUGCUCGUUUACUUGCCCAUAUCAUGCAUCGUGGAUUUAGGUUCAGUAUAACCAACUCACUGAUUUGGCAAUCUACUGAGCGCCCUUCGAUAAGGCAGCAGUUCCAUGAUUGCCAAUAUGGCCCCAUCCAGCAUCCCCACAAAUUGAAGCACCCACUAGGGCCCUUUAUGCGGUUUCAUCCAAUCCCAGUAGAGCCUGAAAAAGACCUAGGAACAUAUUGUUUCUGUGGGGUGAGGAGCAGCAGGCAGAUGCUUCGCAAGCCAGGUCCAAUGCAUGGAAGUUUCUUCUUUGGAUGUGGGAAUUGGACUGCAGCUAGGGGUGCACUUUGCUCAUAUUUUGAAUGGGCUACUUAGUGACUUGAGUGAAAGGAUAUCUAUCCUUACCUGUGAAAGCAAAAAUGAAAAUUAAAAAAAGAAAAAAAAGGGGGAAAAAAAAGGGAAAGAAAGAAAUGAAUGACAAGAGAGGGAAGGUCUCCUAUGAAAGCAAUGCUGGUGUUCGCUCAUUCAUGAGGUUGCUGCUUCUUACAUUUGAUACUGUAGCCUCCAAAGGGGUGUCUGUUCAUAGAAUCUUUGAGAAGUCUAAUAGGAAGAGGGAUCUCUAACUUGUAAAGCUGACUUCUGGUUGGCAGAAAAGCGGGAGGAUAUGGAAUAGGAAAUGCUUACAUAGGAGAAUGGUUUUCACCAUGCCAGGACAUGGUUUUAAACUUCUUAAAUAAUCUUGUUAAAUAGGGAUAAUGUGUUUUAUCUAUGGUUUUAGUGGGAAUGAGCUGCCAUUGAUUGCGCUCCUUUUCCCCUUCAAGUUUCUAUUCUAUGUUUCUAUUGUUUCUAGAUGCCAUCUCUAGGGGAUGAUCUUCAUUCAUGUCGUCCAUCUACCUUCACUGGCGCACCUCCCAUCGGUAGUUUACAGCUAUAGUUAAGUUGGCUACCACCAAAAUUUAGGUAAACAUUUGCUUCAUGGAUAUAGUCUGAUUCAUUCAUUUGUUCAUUGUUUUGGGUUAGGGUGAUUCCCAAUUUAGAGCUAUGUUGAUGCAUGUUCACACCAAGAUUGAAUUAACCAGCUUUUGAAGCUUCUGCUUACAUUUGCCUCAGAACUCAAAUCUGCUGUCUACCUUUUUAUUGAUGUGAUGAAAUCUCACAGUUUUUGCAUUGUGUUGUUUUUGUACUUGGAUUCAUAGAUGAUGAUGAUGAUGAUCAAUAUGAUCCCUUCCCUUUAUUUUUUGCUUUGAAAUUUCAUGCUUUCUGGAUUUCAUUCAUUGGGCUUUCUUUUGAUUGAAUAUAGAUUGAAUGACAUUUUUAUAACUGCAGUGCAGUGUUAUGUACUUUGUGAAUGAAUUAUCAUUUGAUUUAUAACUCCCAACCUUUAGUAAAACUUAAUACUUAUUUCUUAAUGAUUUAAGUUAAAUUAUAUUUAAGUUGUUGAUUUAAAAUUUAUCAUUUAAUUCUUAUUUUUAAGUAUUAAGUUUCUUUGAUAAAAUUAAUUUAAAAAUUUUAUUUUGAAUCAUCAAAUUGACAUAUUUAUCCUCAUAAAUUAUAAUUAAGAUAAAUGAGGUCGAGUAACAAUAGAAUUUGUGGAGUAGCAAAAGGGAUCGUGGAGAUAAUUAUGACAGAUAAAAAUAAAAAAGUAAAAUAAAAAUGUGGACUUGAUAAUAAGUUAAUUGUUUUUACUUAUUAUUUAAAGAUAUUUUUUUUACUUUAAAUUAUAUUAUUAAAUUAUGUUAUCAAACAUAUUUAAUUUAUUUAAUGAUUUAAAUUAAAUUAUUAAGUCACUUUAAGUUAGUAAGAGCUCGAUUGACAAUGAUUUUAGGAAAUAUUUUUAAUUUUUUUAAUAUUUAAUUUUUUUUUUAUCAUUCAAGUGUUGAAUAGAUUAAAAACGUUUUUUAGAAUUACUAUGAAACGCAAAAGUUGAUUUCCCUACCACCCACAAAUCGGUAGUUGAUCAUUAGGGAAGGCUAAUAUGAUGGUGGUGGUGUAAUUUUUUAUUAGAGUUCUUGCAGCUCUCUCACUUUCUUUGGACUUAGAACUUACUAUUUUUGAAUAUUUUAUUUAUUUCUUUUUCAUUAGAAAGAUUUAUAAUUGCAUAUGAUGUUGCUCUAUUUGCUUCUUAUCGUAACACCUAUCUAGCAAUUGUGGUUUAUUUAUUAUUCCUGUUUUUUUUAACACAAAUUUAAUAUUUUCAAUUUUUUAAAGAAAAAUAAAGAAUAAUUUUGAUAAAUUUGAAAACAUAAAAAAGGAAUAAAAUUAUAUAAAAGAUUUAUGGAUCCAUAAUAUAAAAGAAAAACGAUUCAUAUAUAUUUUUAAACUUGGAUCACCAAAAAAAUUGUAAGUGUACAUGUGUGAAUUAUUUGAAAAAAUUAAGAUAAAUAAGAUUUUCAUGAAUCAAAAUCAAGAAAGUUUAUUCAAAGCCAAUUGUCAUAUGAUUAUCCAAUGACUUAUUUGGAUGAAAAGAAAUUUUAAAAAAUUAACUCAAUCUCAAUCAUAAUUCAUCAAACAAUCCAUAUUUAAUCACUUAAUCUCCUAAAUAUCAAAUUCUAACAACAUUCAAGUGUGCCUCGAAUCAGGGUUCAAAACAUCGUCCGAGUCGUAUUCGCCUCAACACCAGUUGUGAUGAGUUCGAUACCCGAUAUACUUUUUACCUAGACUCGACCUUAAAUCGGUUGGACUCGGAUGACUCGACUGGUAUUCCAAGUUAACUUGGUCGACUUGAAAAAAAAAAAAAAACUAAUCAAUAGAUUCCAUGCAAAAGAAACCCAUCACAACAAUAAUCAAAACUUUAAGAGAAAUUAGAGAUUCUUCUGCACAAGAAAACCCUUGAAAAUUUUGAAACAAACCCGUGAAAAUUUGAAACAAACCCGUGACCAUUUCAAAAGCCUUUAAAAAGAGACACGGUUGAAGAAUAACUUACUUAACCCUAAAUCCACCAUUGCCAGAGUGUAGAUUUUUCAUCUUUGGUGCACUACCGAUGCCGCAAUGGUGACUGGAUGCCGGCAAGGCAACCCUCCUCCAUUCGAUAGUCCGAUUGUGGUUGUGUGGUAGCAGUGGGAAGGUCCGAGUCGUCUGAGAGGCUGCAGAUCGUGAUCAUCGUGGUGUGUUGGGGAAGAAGAUAGUGGGCAAGGGUUCUUGGGGAAGAAGCUAGCAGAUGAUAAAUGUAAAGUUUGAUUUACCUUAUUUAAAUCAAAACACCCCUAUAAUAUAUUUUGAUUCAUUACUUUAAUUUAGGAAAGAUAAGAGCUGGUUGAUGGGUCAUUCUAUCGCUCUUUUCCAUUUGUUCUACCUCUACAUGAUUUGAUUAUUGGGUUGCACUCCUAGCUUGCCAUGUCCCAUGGACUUUGUCUUUGGCCCUUGUGGAGACAUUUUUGUAUUUUACUUUUGGAUAAAUUAUAACUGUGAUAUCUACGGUUUUAAAAUGUAUAUACAUGUAAAAAAGAGCUCAUAAGUAUAUAACACUAAUUUUUUUUUCCUUAUUCAAUGUGAAAAAUCAUAUGUAACGUCCACAUGCCCAAAUCAUAUAAUUUUUUUUUAUAUAUAUUAAUUUAUAGUAAAAAAUUCUACAAGAAAUUGUUAUUUAAUAUAACCUAUUUAACAUUUGGUUAUAUUUUAAGAUUAUUAUUAUUUAAAAAAGAAAAAAGGGUUUGCAUGAGUGAAAGUAUAGAAAUGACUUUCAUAAUUUACAUAAAAAUUUAAGUUGAAGCCAAUAUCAAAAUAUUCUAAAGGAAUAAUAUUAAUAUUAUAUGAGUAAACUUAAAUUAUUCUCAAAAUAUAUUUUUUUAAAUAAUUUUUAAAACAAAUACCAAUUUAUAAUAACAUAAUUCACAUCUUUUUUUUUUGGGACAAUUGUGUUUUGGAUGUAGUUGGGUCCAAAAAUUAAGUUUUGGUCCAUAUAAGUUUAUCAUUUAAGCCCAAGACCUAGAGGAAGUGUGAAAAUUGAGAAGAAGGAUAUGAAUUUUUUAUCUUUCCAAAAAUGACCUUUAUUGACUAUGAAAAAAAAAGAGUAGAAAAACAUUAAUUUAAAUUUUAUUCCUUUUGUAAACCUCAAUAAAAUUUAAUUUAAUUUAGUGAUUUGGAAAAAAAUACACCAUUUUCCAAAAAAAUAAAAAUAAAUUAUUAUUAUCAUUAUUAUUAUUUAAAAAUCAAACAUCUUGAAAAAUAUAUAUAUUUAAAAUUAUGUAUGUAAAAAAUAACUAAAAAUAGGUCAAAUUUAUUUUUUUUAAAUGAUAUAUUUUUAGAAUAUAUAUAUAUUUUUAAAAAAUUAGUUUUCUAAAAAUAAUAAAUUUUUAGAAUAAUUAUUAAAAAAAUUAAGAACAGAAAGUUUGUCGAACAUUGUGGUAAAAAAUACUCAAAAUAGUUUUAAAGGGUAUAUUGGUCUUUUCACAUUUUAUAUCAUUCUCAUCAAUUAUGCAACUUAUAUGGGCCAAAUCUUAAUUUUUGAGCCCAACUGGGUACAAAACACAGUUGUCCUUUUUUUUUUUUUUGUUUAUUUCAUUUUCUAUCUCAAAAUUUUAUCAUUUUAAAAUUUUUUUCUCUAAACAAUAUUUUGUAUUGUUUUUAAACAAAUAAAAAUUAGGUGACUCGGCAUGACCAGGCAUGCUAAGUGUCACACCCCUGAAUAUCUCAUUGAAUUUUUCACGAGUGCGCGUUGCUAAGGACCCUUCCUUAGCCAACAUUCCUUUCUAGCGUUUAGAAAAUAGAGUAAAACACAAAAAGAACAAAGCAACAGGGACACACACGAGGUUACCGGAAUCCUUUCCCAACUUGUAUUAUUUCACUAUUACAAGACAAAAUUGUUUUCUGAACCAGAGUACAAUGCUCUCACCCAAGCAUACGAGAAGGAACCCUUUUCCCAAAACUCUCACUCUCUGUUUCAAGGCUGUAGGAGCCUUUUUAAAAGACUCAAGCUGCAGUUACAAAUUUGAAUUUCCCAAUCCAAAUCUUGGAGCCAACUUUGGUGGUUAUGCAACUGGCCAGAACCGCCCUCAACUGCCCUGCAUAACCACCCACCACCUAGAUAGUGGCUUGUACAUGCCACCCACUUACACCAGCCGUCAUCUCUUAGCCAACUGCAAGUCAAAUGACGGCUUGACUUGGUCACUGAGCUAGUUGCACUAUCAUAUCCUCAGGUCUUGCUCGCCAAGUUGUUGGUGAGUCCCCCUAACAAGACGACCCCUCCCCCGUAAGGUGCCUCUUGUGACCGGGUGCCCAUCAGCAUGUCUUUGAUCAAGGCCCUCUAAGCCAGGCAGCGUGCACCAAUCAUCUGACUAAGCAUCUGGUGCAUUAGUGUGCCUUCCCCACACUGAUGUGUGAGCCUGUGCUAUGUUUAAGUGCCCAUAGCUUGGGCUUGUUGCUUGCUUCUCAGCUUCCUAGCAACGAGCCAUGACAUUGCGCCCAUGGCUGAUCCCUCUUGGUGCAUAAGGCAUUGCGCCCUUGUGCUGUGCGUAGGCAUCUUGGUGCGAGUCAGUUAUCGCUUGGAGCCAUCAGACCAUGGCAUUGCGCCCAUGGUUUCAUCAGCUGGCUCACCGCACAAGGCUUAGGCGCCCUCCUGCCUACGCGGGGAGGGGGUAGGCCGUACCAGGCCUCGUGCCGUUGCGGCCACGGGGUGCACACCACACAUGUCGUGGAGCCCAUGUGUGCGUGCUUGAGUCGCGUCGUGUGUCUUAGGCAUGUCCAAGGCCGUGCCAUGGUGCCCCCUUGGUGCGGUCAAGGCUUCUCUUGGUGGCUCCCUCCUUUGAGUCACCUACCCCCCCUUAAAGAGCAUUACGGGUCGUUUUCAUUGUUUCUUAAGGAGACAUCAAUAUGUCUGAGGAGACAUAAUGGAAUAAUAAUUUUAAUUUAUAAACUAAAAUUCCAAGUUCCUCAACCUUCAUCUGCACCACCUAAGUCAGGUGCGCGUGCGAUGCUCAUCUGGUGCACACACGGUGCAUGUCUGGCUCGCCCACAGUGCGCACGCGGUGCGCGUUUGGCCCACUCGCGGUGCGUAUCUGGCUCGCCCGUGGUGCGAUCGCGGUGUGCGUCUGGCUCGCCCAUGGUGCGCGUCUGGCUUGCCUAUGGUGUGCGCGCAGUGCUCAUCUAGCUUGCCCACGGUGCACGCGCGGUGUAUGUCUGGCUCGCUUGCGGCCUCCUCACAUGGCUUUUGGAGUUUAAACCACCAAACUUCUAGGAUUUCCUUACUUUCAUCCUAGGGUCUCAUAGGUGCAAGGCCUACCCAUGAGGCCUAUUCCUCCAUGGUUAAGUCAAGGGGCUAAGGGGCUGACCCUAAGCCUUUAGUAUGCUUAAUUUUGUCGCACCAGGAAUAUUUCUUGGAUGGGCCAACCUGACUCAACCCAAUUUGUAGCUAUUAGGGUAUAACCUAGAAGGUGACCCACCAAGCCUAUUGAAAAUUAGGGCGUUACUUAAAGGUAGAGGGCCUAUAGGCUUUUAAUAUUGAAUUUACAAUUUAAAAUAAUUCAAUUGGCAUCUACUUAACUAUGUUUGGUUACAAAAAAUUUAAAAGAAAAUGUAACAUAAAGAAAUAUAUAUAUAUAUAUAUAUAUAUAAGAAAAAAUAAAGAAAUAUAAAAAAUAUAAUAAAGUUAAUAAAUUAUUUUUAUAUAUUAUAUUAAAUUCAUUUCACCUUUUUUUUUUAUAAUAAAACCAAAUAUGAAAAAAAAAAUCAUUUUUAUUUUAUUUUAUUUCCUUAAUGUUUUGAUUUUAUUUUAUAAUAUUCUACAAUUAAAUUACAAUGGGAAAUCAAUAAUUAUCAAAACAAACUUUUUUAAAAGAUUUUUUUUUAUAAAAAUAAUAAUUUAUUUAACUAUUAUUUAUUUUAAUUAAAAAAACAUAUAAAUAAGUGGAAAACAAAAUAUGAUAAACUUAGGUGAGAUCGUGUUUAUUGUUUUUUUAGUAGAAUUUAUUUUUAUAUGGCAAUAAUAUGAAACAUAUAAGUGAGUGGAAAAUUGAAUAUUAUAAUUCUUAUAUAAAUGUGUUUAUAUAUAUUUAAUUUGAAAAGUAAGUUGUUUUACUUUUAUAGAUGGUUAAAUGGCCUAUAAAUGGUUAAAUGGCCUAUAUACCAAAUUGGAAAUACAUAUUUGGAAGAUGAGGUGCAAGAGCUUGAGGUAUAUAUAACAACAUUGAAGGCUAAAUGGCCUAUAUAUGGGUGCAAUCAUGUGUGAUGGUUGGAGUUGUAGGACUAAAAAGCCUAUCAUCAAUUUCAUGAUUUAUUAUGAUAGAAGUAUGAUAUACCAUUCUUCAGUUGACACUACCAACUUACCUAAGACAACAUACUACAUCUUUUCCCUUAUGGAUAAAGUUGUAGAGGAGGUUGGGAAGGAAAAUGUUGUUCAAGUAGUCACUGAUAAUGAGGCAAGUUUUAAAGCAGCCGGUAUGUUGUUGAUGAAGAAGCGGAAGCAUUUGUUUUGGUCUCCUUGUGCAGCCCACUGUAUUGAUUUAAUGCUUGAAGAUAUUGUAAACAUGAAGUAGAUUAAGGAGACAUUAGAUCAAGCUAAGAUGAUCACAAGAUUUAUUUACAAUAGCUUGAAAUUAGUGAAUUUGAUGAAAGUGUUCACCAAGGAUAGAGAUCUGUUAAGGCCAGGAAUAACCCGUUUUGCCACUGAAUUCAUUUCACUUGAGAGUCUUAUACGUUAUGAGGUUGAUUUGAAGAGAAUGUGUACAACAAAUAAGUGACGUGAAUUCAAUAAAGAUAGGAGCAGAAAAAGUCUAAGAGAUGAGGUAUCCAACCUUAUAUUAACUGAUCGAUUUUGGAAGAAGGCAGGGAAGUUCAAACCAUCAUGGAACCUCUCGUCAAAGUAUUGAAAUUGGUUGAUCAAGAUAAAAAAGCCACAUUAUCAAUCAUUUAUGAAGCAAUGGAUAGAGCUAAAUUGGUUAUCAAGGCAUCAGUCAAGCAAUGGGAAAAGUAUUGGGAAGUCAUUGAUAGAAGGUGGGAAGGUCAAUUGCACAGACAUUUGCAUGCUGCAGGUAAUAAAAAAAUUCUUUAUAUAUUUUUUAUUAUUUUUUUAAGUACAAAUUAUUAUAAACUGAUCAUUAUUUAACUUAUGACAACAUAUUUUUUAAAUCCAAUGUUCCAAUAUUCAAAACAUUUCUCCAACCAUCCAGAAAUUAAAGUUGGAUUAAAGAAGGUUAUCAAGAGAUUAGAGCCAGAUUUGGAUAGACAAGCAAAAGCUAUUGACGAGGUAUAAUAAUAGUUUGUGAUAUUUAUAUAAUGCAUUUUGUAUAUGUAAUGUGCAUUAACAAAAAAAAAUGUUAAUGAUGUAGGUGAAAUUAUUUAUUGACGACCGAGGAGAAUUUGGAAGUGCACUUACAAAGAACGCAAUAAAUCAAUCUCUUCUAGGUACUCAAUACAUUUACAUUUAUUACAAAUAAGAAAUUAUCAUCAUUUUUUGUUAAAUAUAUCAUAGUGAUUAAUAAGUAUGCAUUUUCUUUAUUAUAGUUGAAUGGUGGAACAACUAUGGCGACGAAGGUCCACAUCUACAAAAGAUUACUGUUAAAAUUUUAAGCCAAACUUGUUCUUCAUUAGGUUGUGAAAGAAAUUGGAGCACAUGGUCAUUGAUUCACACAAAGUUGCGCAACCGUUUGGCAAUAAAAAAGUUGUAUCAGUAGUUUAUGUGCACUAUAAUAUGCGACUUCGAGUUAAGAAUUUGAUGCAAGAGCUAAACAAUGAAGAUUUAUACAAUCCAAUUGAUUUGAAUCAUAUCUUUAAUGAUGAUGAUAUAUUAGAUGAGUGGAUACAAGAAGGAGAGGAGCUUAUUUUAUCAUAUGAUAAUUUGGAUUGGUUGGAUAAAGGUCUUCCCACUAAUGAAGAAGGUAGAGAAACAGUUCAUGAAGAUGAUGGUGCCACAAAUCGUAAAGUUAGUAGGCGUACAAGUAAUGCUACACAAGAAAGAGAUGUUGAUUCCCGUUGUAAAGGUAAGACUCCUAGAACAAUUUCUUCAAGUUUUAGUAGUGAUGAUGGUGACAAUGGGGGCAAUGCGCGGGGUGGUGGCACUAGUGGGGCAAUAGAGGAGUUGGUGGUACUAGUGAGGGUACUAGAGGAUAUGGUAGCACUGAGGGCGGUUAUGUUAGUCAAGUAUAUCUUAACAUGUCAUGGGCACAAGGAGGUGAAAAUUACUAUGCCACACAAGAUACAGAUCAUGGAUAUCGACCAGGGAUAUGGGAACAACGAAAGCAUUUGGAAAGACUAACUACAUUUCCCAGCGAUGAUGAUUAUUUUAGUGGGCAUGAUUAUCAUAGAUCAAAUUAUCACCGUAUUGAUGAGCCCUUAUAGAAUUUGGGUAUAGGAUCAAGGUCAUAUUUUAGAGGGGUAGAUGAUAGAUCAUAUCACAACUUUAGAGACCGUGAUAGCUCUUUCAGUACUUUUAGUAGAAAUGAUUUUGAUCGAUUUCCAAUGAUACAUCCAGAGGGAUAUUCAAAUACUAGAACACGAGCUUGUGAUUCAUACGGAUAUGAUCAAUCUUCUAGUAGUAGUAGCAUUGCUUAUUGAGGUUUUAUAUACUAUCAAUAUGGUGUUGAUCCCGAACAACCUUUGAAACCAUAUUUUCCUUAUUAUGGAUCGUCAAGCCAAUCAUCUGAGCCAACAUAUUCGAGUUAUGAACAACUCUUUGAACCAUAUCAUCACUACAAGAAUUGCCACCCAAUUUGUAUACUCGUCAUAGGACUAAUGAUGAUGAUUUUGAACCCUCUUAUCAUUCAACAUGGAAUUGAUUGUUGUAUGUUUGUUAGUAAAAAUGUUAUUAUAUUUGAAAUAAAAUAAUUUUCUUUUGUUAGCAUUAUUAUAAAUAACUUUGAGCAGAUACUUUUAUAACUAUUUAAAUAAUGUUAAAUGUGAGACAAUUUUAUUUUAUUAAUUUUUUGAGCUUAUUUAAUUGUAUAUAUUUUUAUGAUGAUUUACAUAAUAUUUUUAUAAUUUUUUGAAUUUUCUAAUUAACUUAUUUUAUGUAUCUCCCGAUACUAAACCGAUAUGCCUCGGGAACCUUCGAGUCAGUGACCGAUAUUGCAACUUUGAACCAUGGCCCGAAUUGUCCACACCCAACCUAAACUAGCAUGUAUUCAAAAAAUUAUAAAAUGAGAAAGGACCUAAAUAAAGAAGAAAAUGUAAAGUAUAAGUUAAUAAUAAAAAAAACUUAUAUCAAACUAAAGUACAAACCAAACAUAAAAUACCCAUUCUACCAUUAUAUGAAUAAAACACUGAUUCUCUCAAUAUCCUUCAUAUUAUUAAUUCAAAUUUUAUGUGAGCAUUUAUAGUAAGAUCAUUGAAAUUUUUUUAUUCAACGGAUCACACUUUAUUACCUUUAGCAUGCAUUUUCAUUAAAGAAAUUCAAUCUUUCUAUUAUAUUUUCUAUUGAAUUCCAAUAUUUAUAAAAAAAAGAAAGAAAGUCAUAGUACCUCAUUUUCUAUUAGAUUUCAACACCUAUUUCCAUAAAAAAUUCAUUCUCUACAUCUCAUUUUCCAUCACAUUUCAACAUGCAUUUCCAUAUAAAAACUUCAAUCAAUAUAUUCAAUUUCUAUUGAAUUCUAACAUGUCUUUUUCAUAAAAUAGAAUAAUAACAAAAAAUAAAAUAAACAGCCACUGCAUUUUAAUUUUCAUUGAAUUUCAAUUUUCAUAUACAACCCCGUUAAAUCUCAAUUUACUUUAAUUAAAUAAAUAAAAACACAAGCCAUUAUCAUGAUCACAAUUGGCUAUAUUGAUUUAAUCCAUAUAUGUCUCAUUGAAGAAAAUUCCCAAUCAAAGACCAUUAAUAAUGAUUCUCCAAAAACUAGCUGAGCAUAUGCAUGAUCCACUACACUGAUUUUUAAUUCUAUCAUUUGGAACUUAAAUCUUUAAAGAACCUUUGGGCAAAUUUGGAGGUGAGGAUGAUGGUGGGGUGGGGGUGACGGUGUGGCCAUUAGCAGUGGUGGUGAGUAGCAGCGUAGGUGGGAAGGGAAUGAGGUGGGGGUGACGGUGAUGGUGUCGCCGUUAGUGGUGGUGGUGAGCAGUGGCGUAGGUGGGAAGGUAGUUGAUGGAUGAAGGAAAAAAAAAUGGGUAUCUUGUUGAUGGUUUAUGCAUGGUUUUAAAGUGUGCUUUUCGGCAGCUGGGAAUGGAGCUGUUGCAUGGGAUACUAUGGAUUAAUGUAGCUACCAAAGGCUAGGGUCAACUAGAUGUAUGGUUUUUAUUAAAGUGCAUCAAAUUGUCUAACAUAUAGAAUUAGUUAUCAAAGCUUAUAAAUGACAUAUUUGUUAUAAAAGUAAUUAUAUUCUUAAAGUAUAGAUUUAAUAGUGAUAUAUAUAUAUAACUCAAAUCUUUACUUCAAUUUAUGAUUCAAUAAGUAUUGGGAAUUUUUUUUUCAUUUUUUUUAUCCAUAUAUAUAUUAUCUGAUAUGUUUAUUUUUAAAAGAAAUAAUCCAUAUUAUUUUACAUUUGAAGUGUGAUGAUACUUGUAGUAACUUGAAUUUAUUUUUAUUUUUAUUAUUAUUAUUAUUUUUAUAAUAAUGAAAUUUUUAUUAUUUAUUAUUUAUUUUUGGUUCAUGAACUAUUUAAAAGAAAAUUAUUUUGGCAUGUUCGUUACCUAAAAGGAACAACUUAUUUUAUCUUAUAUUUUUAAGACGUGGAUUUAAUAUUUAUAAAAAACUCUAAGUUUCAUUUCAAUUUAUGGUUGAUGAUAAUUUUAAACAAUCAGAGAAUCCUAAACCACAAAAAAUAGAAGUUCGUGUGAUCACAUCAAAAUUUUAUAGUUUAUUCUCCAAGAAGCUCCCAAGGAAGAAUUAGAGACUACAAGUCGAUGAAUUACAAUGAUUUACUUGGAUAGUAGCCUACAUGUGUUGUGGGCAAAAUGAAGGGUCUACAGGAAUGUUUGAACACUUAACAAGAAGCGUUCAAACACAACACCCAAAUGCUCCUAGUAGGGUGUUCAAACGCUAAUUGUAUAUUUUGCUCAAUUUUGUUUUGAUUUUAUGUUUUUAGGGGUAAUUUGGUAAAAUUAAAGGUUUAAAUAUAUUUGAAAAUUAGACCAAAGUUUUCUUAAGUGUAAAAGAAUCACUUUGUUGGAAUUUUGCAACCUUUGUGAAGAUAGUCAUUCAAUAAAUUUGUGCCUUCAUUUCUUGAAGCUUUCAAGAUCAUGCUUGAAAGUAUCAUUUGACUACAACAAAUGUUUGUGAUUCAUUUUAUGUAAAGAGCUUUGAUAGAUCCAUUAAGGAGUACAUGGAGUAUUGCAUUGAGAAUGUGGUAAAAAAGUAUAAGCGUUAACACUAUAAGACCCUGGGGGAGUAGUCCGGUCAAAGAAAAUCGUGUGUACUAUUUUAUCAUAUUUAAUGGGUUAUUAAACGAUUGAAUGACCAUAUGUGGUUUUCUACAUGAAUGUUAGGUAGUUUUUUCACAUUAUAUCCUAUAUUUAUUCAUGUGAUUAAAUUUUCUUUUGUACGAGGAUUCAUUAAUUCUUACUCAAUAUUGAUAUAACUAAUAAAUAAAACUAAAAAAGUUAAGAAAUUAAUUUCUUAGUCUAUAUAUUCAUCCCUUUUAGGUAGUUUCAUAUCAAGAUAUUAAAUUCUUUUAGAAGCUCUAACUAACCUCCUUAGGUGACCACGAUGGGUGAAGUACAAGAUUGACACCAACAACAACCAUUGAUUGUUCUUUUUCCAUUUGAAAUUUUAGAACCCUUUCUCUCACAUGGAUAACUCUAUUUCUUUCUCCAGGCUUUUGAUUGUUUGAACUCAAUAUUUACUAUAAUAAAAGCAAUAGUACAAACAUUCAAAACCCUAAAGAGAGAAAUACAAUUACCUAAGAGAGAUUUUUAAAAUCCAAAAAGGAGAAAAAACAAUAAAUGAUCUUUGUUGGUGUCUGAUCUUAGAGUUCCCCAAUAGUAGCCACCUAUGAAGCUCAGCUAGUGCAUAACUACGGGUUAGAGAAAAUGAGAAGAGGGAGAAGAGGUGGAGGUUAUGAUUUAGGGGGCUUGAGAUUAGGGUUUGUGAGUUUAAGAAAUGAGAGAGAGGGAGAAGAAAUAGAGAUUAAGGUUUGUGGGUUCACAAAAUUGAGAGGAAAGGAGAUUUAGGCUAUGUUUGGUUCCCGAAAAAUCUGAGGGAAAAUGCAAAAGAAAGAAAAUAAAAAGAAAAAAUAGAAAGAAAGAAAAAGUGAAAAAAAAUAAAAAAUAGAUUAAAAGUCGAUAAAUUAUUUAUAUUUGUUACUUUAAACACAUUUUAUUUAUUUUAAUUCAUCAAUAUAAAGAUUGAAUAAUUUAAACAUACAUGAAAUUUUAAUUAAAUUUGAUUUUCUUUUAUAUUUUUCAUAAGACAAUCAAAUAUGAAAAAAUAAUUUUUUUUUUUUUGUAUUUUUUUUCUUUCCUUAGUAUUUUCCAGGAACCCAACACAACCUUAGGUUUUAUGGGGGCUUUGUGGGAUUUAUUUCAUUUAUUUAUUUAUUUUUUAAGGACAUGUAACAAAUACCACUUGACUAAGAUAGAUGCACAAGUGAAAGACUUGGGUAAAGGGAGUAUGAAAUGGGAACCCAUAGACACAUGAAGCAUGCAUUGAAAACUCGUACAGUCGUUUACAUUUUGACAUAUUUCACUCAUGCACUCUAUUUUAUUUUUUCUACUUUGGUAUAUAAAUAUGGAUUAGUAUCAUAGAAGCAUAUACAUACCAAGUAAAAACUUCUUAUGGUCACCCACAAAAGGGGAUAUCAAUUUAGUGGUUUGCAAAAUGUUGAGAAUUCUACGGUAACAUUUUUUCAUGUGUAACCCCUCUUUUUUGAAGAGAUGAAUUUACUCUACCAAUAGUUCAGUAGAUGAUAUUGAAUUAUAAUUUUAUUCACCUCCCUCGAUAUUUAAGUUAAAUAUGUCUAACUAUCAUUAGUUUGAAAUUUUAUGAAAUAUAUUCAUUUCCUUUCUCUUUUUUCAUUUUCACUUCCCUCAUUUUAAUUCAAAAUAUGAAAGAUAUUUGAUAAAAUUUCAUAUUCACGGCACUAAAAUAUAUUUAACUCAAAUUGUAGGGAAGAUGAGUGAAAUUCAUCCCUUUACUUUUUAUAUUUUUUUCAUCUUUUUAAAAGACCACUUGACUAUUAGUAAACUCUUAUUAGUAUUUUUGUAGAACUUGUGUGACUUAUCUUUUGAAGAUAAAAGUUUGAUUUUUUUUGGGUUUCUUUUUGGAUAUUUUUUUGUAUUAUUUUAUUUUAUGAUUUUUUUAAUAAAGAAAUGUAAUAUUGAAAAGAUUUGUAACUUAAACUUAAUAACAAUACUUAUUUUAAUUCUUUUUUUUAAGUACUAUUUUUUUCUCUUAUGGCAUUUUUCUAAUGAAAAUAUAAAAGUUAUGUUUAACCUCAAAAGUUUGAGGGAAAAUGUAAGAAAAAAAAUGGAAAGAAAAAGUAGAAGGAAAUAAAAGUUGAAAAAAAUAAAAAAUAAAAUUAAAGUUUAAAAAAUAUUUUUAUAUAUUAUUUCAUAUUUUUUUUCGUAUAUUUAAAUCUUUUAUAUAAAAAUUGAAUAAUUUAAAAAUAUAUAAAUUUAUUAAUAAUUUUAGUUAUAAUUGACUUUUUUUUUAGAAUAAAAUCAAAUAUGAGAAAUUUUUUUUUGAAUAUUAUUAUUAUUUUUCUAGUAUUUUACGAGAAUCAAACAUAAUUUUAGAGUUAAAUUAAUAAUGAUUUUAGGAAAAUGAAAAGAAACUAAUAUUAUUUAGAUUGAAUAAAUUUUAGAAAGAGAAUAUAAAUUUCCAACAAUUUUAUUUUUUAUUUAGAAUGGAUUUUUUAAUUUAAUAUUAUUUUCAUUUAACGAAAAACGACAGUUAAACGGCGUCGUUGUUUGCUGACUGAAAGAUGGUGGUAGGAAAAUAAUUGGAGAGGAGCCGAACCUACUAAAUUACUAACUGCAUCUCAGUGAUUUGAUUCGAUUUGAUUUUAGUAGAAAUUCAACGUACACGGCCUCAUCCUCUUCCGUCUUCUUCCCAUCUCAACUCCAUUUUGUUCUCUGCUGCCAACCCUAAGCCAUGGAUUCACUGCUCGCGUAUCAGCUCCUUCGCAUCCUAUCCCUCACUCUUCUUCUCUCAUCGUUCUCUCGUAUCUCUAAAUCAAGUGAGGUAAUUAAAAAUUCUUUCUCAUAUGAUUUCUUUGCUUAGUCUCCGUUUGCUUUCCAACAAAAUUUAAGGAAAGUUUAACGACAGAGUGGGUUUUGAAUCUUUUGUGUUUCUUUUUUCUGUGAGAAAAUGGAAGCAUCCACUUCACUGAGCUUACUCGAUUCAGUGAUUUUUUUUCCUAUUAAUUUUAUAUUGUUGAAGGAGAAGUAUGGUUGUAUUGGGCUCUGUUUGGGUACCAGGAGACAGAAAGGAAAAGGAACUUUGAAGAAUCUCAAACGUUGAAGAAUUUAAUGGUUGUAUUGGGCUUUGUUGGUUAAAUCAUGUGGAUGUGGAUGUGGUUGUGUUAAGUUUCAUACUUUGAAGAAUCGAAUAUUGAAGCUUUUUUCUUUGUUCUUUUUUUGGAUAUUUUAUUGCAUCCAAACUGAGGAUUAGGGUUAAUACGGAAUUAGGAUGUGAUUGUUUACAGUUUUGUGAUGCUGGAACUGGAUUUGGUGAUUCUGGAUGUGUAGUCUCGUCGAAGUCUGCAUCAAAGCUGUUAAUCAAGGGAGGAACUGUUGUGAAUGCUCAUCAUCAGGAGAUUGCUGAUGUUUAUGUAGAGGAUGGGAUCAUUGUUGCUGUGAAGCCUAAUAUUAAGGUAAUUCAUAAAGUAAUUUAUUUAAUCCAUUGUCUGUUGUGUUUCAUUGGUUGAAUUUGAUCCAAAAAUGUUAAAUGAGUUGCUCAGAGAGGGCUAAUUAGCUCUAGCAUGAAACUUGAUUGGAUUGCCAUGAUGAGGGCUUUUAUGUACUGGAUUUGACAUUUUAAGAUUCUUUAGAAAAUUCAAAUUUCAUGGGAGAAUGGUGGGGUAGAAUGGUUGUUGUGGAGUCUAGUCAUCUAAGUUGUCAAAAAAUCUUGGAUUAUUCCAAAAAUAUUCAGAAACUAUCGCUAUCCUUAUCAAAGGAAAGGUCCAUUCUAGCAAUCUAAAAAACAAACAUGUGGAGCAGAGACAGACACGCCCUUUCAUUUUUUUUUUAAUUUUUUUAUUAUUAUUAUUCGUGCAUAUCCCAAAUGUAAAAAAUACUUCCCAAUAGAAAUUAUUUGUAAAAUUCCUAAAUUACUCUAUUUAAUUAUUGAAUGAUACACACAUGCCUUUUGUUUUCUCAACAUGCAUAUAUUUUCCUAGUUGCAAAUUCAUUCUCAGAUUCUCUCCAUGCUAUUCCUGAUGUUUGCUUCAGCUAGCUCCCAAAUUCUGAACCAUUUGAAUGCCAAAAGUUCUUGAAUUCCCAAUUGUCAUUCUGGUCAUUGAUUUAUUUGAUGGUUUGGUAAAGCUGUUAAGCAUGAUUCUAUUUUUAAAAUCAGAAAAUAGUACUAACUUUUAUAUAAAGUAUAAGAACUCUUAGAGGUUUACAUUGAAAAAGUAAUGGUUUAAAAACAAUUUAAAAAAAUUGAGGUAUCAAAAAAAUUUUAUUGCCUCAAAUUUAAAAAUUUUUAAAAGUGAUUUUUAAAGACAUAAGAUAAAUAUACUUUUUAUGCAAGAGGCUCUACUUUUUAUAUAAAACUUAUUACUAUUUUCUGAUUUUAAAAACAAAAAACAGGAAGUGUAACUAAAUGGACUUUUAACUGUUGUGACAGUAGAAUAUGGUGAUAGAUAAAUAUACUUUUUAUACAAGAGGCUCUACUUUUAAAUUAUAAGCUGAAUCUGAUGUUGAUAGAUAAAGGAUUUUUUUUUCCUCUAUGUGAAUGGAUGAUUAAAUGGAAAAUGGGAAUUUUUUGUUAAAAUUUAUAUAAACAGCUCUUAGUUUCAAGAAGUUGAUCUUUGUCCAAGGAUAAAACACAACUGCUUCAAGAGGUCAUCCAAAUUAUGAAUGCUUCACCUACUUUUCUUAUUCAAAGUGAGCAUACUUCUGAUAUAUAAUAUAUGUAUGUGUUCAUGUAUGUUAUACAACUUAUAAAAAUUUUGUUAUUAGGUGCAGACCUAUUUAAAUAAAGAACUAGUAUUUUCUUUUUGAAUAAACUAUAGUUCAUUGAGAAUAACAAGAGAGAAAUCAGAAAACUAGCAAGAUAUACUAAUGAAAGACAAACUGGAUUUACAGAACAGAAAAGAUCAAGAAAGGAAUAGCUAGAUAGGGAGCAUGAAGUUGUUAUCCACCAGAAUAAAGUUCUAAGAAAUGCUUUGUUUAACUUAAAAAUGAGAUCUAUUUUUAAAUAUUUUUCUAUUUCUAUUCUCUAAGAAAUCUCCCUAUUUGUACAGCAAGGGCACUGAUCAUUGGAUAGUCCUGGUGUAUCGGUGAUCAUAUUUUGAAGCCUUAUUUUACAACAUUGGUCCUUCACAGGUCAUCACAUCAUCAAGCAAAAAUCAGAAUAGAGAAAGCAUGAAAACCCAAUGCUCUCUAGCCAUCAACUAGUGAAGAAAAUGAUGACCGAUAGAUCAAGUACCAUAUCUACAAAUGCAAUGUUGACUUGAAAUAUGCUCCAAUCAAGAUGUUAAAUCUCUUUGCCAAAUAGAGAAAGAACUAUGCUUUGGAUGGAGCCAACAGGCACCAAGAUUUUUAUCUGGAGCUCUUUAUCAAUAAAAUGUUUAACUGUGAAUUUACCAAUAUGAUUCAUUUCUCCAUCAUCAAUCCUAUUUUUCCCUCUAAGCUCAAAUUCUAACACCAUUUCCAAGUUCAAUCACGAAAUGCUUCAUAAAACUAGGCUACUACAUCUUCUCUGCCAAUCACACUACACAAUCCUUGAUGCCAACCUCUUUAUUCACCACAAUUCCAAAUAGCUUUAGGAAUUUCUUCACAUGAGGGGUCUUCUACACGAUUUCCAAGUUCAAUCAUGAAAAUGCCUUACAAAACUCGGCUAGUGUAGCUCCUCCUCCAAUUUUUUUUUUUCGAUAAGUAAACACAUAUAUUAGCAAAAGGCAAAACGCCGCAUAACAUACAGGGAGUAUACGAGGCAACGCGGGCCUCACAACAAAAAGACAAAAGGAACAAAAAACCCACCGACCCUUAACUGGAGGCUAACCACUCUAAGAAACCUAUAAGGGAGCGAGGCUCCGCACCACUAUACAAUUUUACCCACCCUCACACAUUACAAACAAAAGAAUUCUUAAUUUUCUGAAUAGCUAACUCCCCCUCCUCCCCCUGAAUGCUAAUCUAUUCAUCUCCUUCCAAAUCGUCCAAAAAAUAAAUAACGGAAUGGAUCUCCAAAUUUUCUCCCUCUUUUUACCCACAAAAGAACCCUUCCAACUAAAAACCACCUCCUUUACAGAUUCAGGAAAGACCCAUUGGGCACCAAACAAACUAAGAACAAUCCCCCACAACACUCUAGCCACUGUACAAUGAAUAAGUAGAUGAUUUACAUUUUCCUCAUCACUACCACAUAAAUAACAAUGAUUAGGAAGCUGCCAUCCUCUCUUUUGAAGCCUAUCAAGGGUAAGAAUCCUCCCCCAAGUAGCUUCCCACGCAAAGAAAGCUAGCUUAGAAGGAACGUUCUCCACCCAAAUGCCCUUUUUAGGAAACAUGGAAACACUAGGGCUGAUCAUCAAACCAUACACUUCCUUAACGCCAAACUUCCCAUUUUUUCCUUCCUUCUAAAAGGCCGAGUUCUCCUCCAAGGUAAUUCUUUGACUCCUUAAAAUUUGGAGUAAUUCGCCUAUCAUGAUCAGCUCCCAAUCAUUGAAGCCUCUAAUGAUGAACCUUAGAUUUCAACCUCCUUAACCAGAAUUCUGGUCCCACAUAUCCCCCACUGUGGCGUUCCUUUAGGCAGCCGCAGAGAAGAGUUGAGGGAACCUCCGAGACAGCUCCACAUCCCCACAACAAGGGUCCUUCCAAAACCUAAUUCUGGUGCCUUUUCCCACCUUAAAAGUCGUAUUAGCCCAACACCAAUCAGCUUCUUUCAAGAUCUCCUUCCAAACCCCAACACCAAAUGCCCCAUUUGCCUUUUUAGUCCUCCACCCAAAUUCCUCUUGCCCAUAUUUUGCCACAAGAACUCGUUUCCACAUCUCGUCCUUGGCCCAAGCAAAUCUCCACACCCAUUUUCCAAGCAAAGCUUUGUUCAAGGGGACUAACUUCCUCAAUCCAAGCCCCCCCUUCUCCUUACCCACACACACCCUCUCCCAAUUGACUAGGUGGGCUUUUCUUUCCGUACUUCCCCCUCCCCACAAGAAAUCUCUUUGCAACUUUUCAAGCCUUCUUGCCACUGUCCUAGGCAUACGGAAGAGGGACAAUUGAUAUAAAGGCAUGCUAGCCAAAGUACUCUUUAUGAGGGUGACUCUACCGCCCUUGGAGAUGUAUUGCCGUUUCCAAAGGGCCGAUUUCCACCUCAUCCUUUCUUCCACCCCAUCCCACACACAAGAGGCUUUAUUGGACGCACCCAACGGCAGCCCCAGGUAAGUUGAUGGCAGCUGACCUACCUUGCAACCCAACUCCACAGCCAAUUAAAGCAAACAAUCCUCCAUAUGUGCCUCCUUAUUCAAUGCAAUGCUAAACAAUCUUAGGGAUUGUUUGACAAAAGGAGUCUUCUAUGCUAGGUGUACGUCUACUCUGUAACCAACCACUUUGAAAUUCUUGUCAAGCCCCUUCUACAGUAGCUUUUCAAAGUGCAUUUAAUGAUGUCUAACUUGCACAAAUUGACCCUCAGUUCAGAAAAUGAUAUUUGAAUUCAUCCCUAUCCCAGCCUUUGGAAUUCUUUUUUAAUUUCUUCAAGAAAGCACAAUUGGGGACAUGAAUCUGGAGAAAGUACAUACACAGUUUGUAAGCUUCUUCAUCAAAGUUACCCUCACUCAUUUAGAAGAGCAAAUCCUCUUCCAGCCACUUAGUCUUCUUUUUUCCCCUUUUAUUCAGUGCCUUAAAAACUGCUCAUACCUUAAAUACUGAUUUGUUGAUAUAUGUUCAAAUGGCUGCUGUAAUGAGCUGUAUUUCCAUAGUAGUUUGAACGAUAUGGAACCUAACAUACAUUCAUGAACUUUUACCCAUUCAAGUUUCUUCUAGCCCUUUAAUUUUUUAUCUCAGCAUGCUGGUUUCUCUUGAUGUUUCUUUCUUUUCUUUAUGCUUUCUAAUGUGCAUCUUUAUAUUUUAUUGCCAUAUCUAGGUAGGUGAUGAUGUUACUGUGCUUGAUGCCACCGGAAAGUUUGUCAUGCCAGGUGAAUUUUCACUACCAUGGUCAUAUGAUAUUUUGUGCUCAGUUUUAAAUUCUAAAUCUAAGGAGCCAUGCAAGAUGAAAGCCUCAUGCACAUUUGAAAGCCUAACUUGUGAACAAGCCUAACUUUCCAAGUCAAUGAUGGAUACUGUGACUCUGAACCAUUCUUCUAAUGCUCAACCGUAAACUCAUAAGCAUAUCUGAGCGGUUUGACUCCUCUUUGUUCUUCACUCUUCAGAUGAAACCAAAAAACCUAAAUAAAAAGAGUGAAGGAACCAGAGAGCUCUCUAGAAGAGCAGGAAAUGUCUUCCAAGGAGCGAUCAUCUCUUUCAUGCCUUCAUGCUGUGCUCAUUUUUCCAUUUCCAUAUAAGCAAUUGAACACUCAUUCAGCAUGGUAAAUCUUUUAGCUAUCAUGAUGCACUUAUUGGGCAUAUUUUGAGGUAUACCAGAGGAACAUACUGUAAUGUGAUAAGAAUCCAUUGGUUGACCCAGCUGCUGGUGAUAUUAUUCAAGUUUUUAGAAGGAAGACUGUAAAUCAGUCUUUUUUCCUUGCUAUUGAUAAGAGUAAAAUGCAUUUCCUGUUUAAUUUCUUUUAGUUUUUUACUUGUGAAAUCUAUGAAAACUCAUUAAUCAGUAAGCUACAUGACAUGUUAAAUUCGAGAGCUUAAAAUUGAAGUCCUAUGUUCUGAAGUUUUUAGUUUUAGGUCAUUUUAAUUUAAUCUGGAAGUGCAGUUCACCCAAUGAUUUGACUCCAAGGCAUAGGCGUUUGAAUCACAAGGCUAUUGCCUUCGCCAAUAUGCCUUUGAUAAUCCUUUUAUUUUGACUGGACUGUUAGUAUCAUAUUGAAGCAGCAUUUAUGCCUUGACCAAUCCAAGAGCUUAAGAGUUCUUGAUCUUAAUCAGUGAGCCUGCACAUAGCUUCACAUAGUUUUGAGUUUCCUAAUCAAUCAUAGGUUUUGGAAUCUAAAUGGCACUGAUAAACUAUUCAUUUCCUUCUCUAUCUAUUUUGAACAUAAUACAUAAAUACAGCAGAAAGAAUUAUCAUGCUGUAACCUGCACUUAGUGACUUAGUUCUUUCGUUUGUAUGCUUGCCAGAUCCUGCAAAUUUGUAUUAUUAGUGUUAUGGUUUUCCAUGAUUUCUGACUAGGAAUACAACCUUUGGAGUUCCAAUCCUUCCUCACAUGUUAUACCUAUAAAAUGUUGGUCUCUUGUCUCAUCCAUUGUGUCCAUGUGUUCCGCUUUCUUUUCAGAGUGGGUUAACCUCCUCUCUUCCCCCAUUUUCCUUAACAGAGCCUUGGAUGCAUGCCAUGGGGUUUUUGAAAUCUAUAGCUGGUAAUAAGGAGUACAUGAUUGUAUAUCAACUGUAGGUGCAAAAAGCACUAACUAUACAUCCAUCCUAGGCCUUGUAGGUGGAUUCAACAGGGUGCAAUGUGGUACGGGGAGCCAAACCCUUUAAUACUGCACUUAUUAUAAUUAAAACCUGACUUGUUGGUUUGCCAUUUUUUCCACUGUAGACUUGUUAAGUUUAAUUAGCAUGUCCAUGUCCAUGUCCAUUUCCGUCUCUAAGAACUACAUAUAUUUGAUCCAUAUAUAUUGCAACAUUAAAUUUUAAUGUUUACAGGUGGAAUUGAUCCUCACACACACCUAGCAAUGGAGUUUAUGGGUACUGAGACCAUUGAUGACUUUUUCAGUGGUCAAGCUGCUGCACUAGCAGGUGGAACAACAAUGCACAUUGACUUUGUCAUACCAGUCAAGGGCAGCUUAUCAAAGGGUUUGGAAGCCUAUAAAGACAAAGCGAAAAAAUCUUGUAUGGAUUAUGGUUUUCAUAUGGCAAUCACAAAAUGGGAUGAAAAUGUUUCAAGGGAGAUGGAAAUCAUGGUUAAGGAGAAAGGUUAGCUGUUUUUUUCAAGUUUAUUAUAAUAACUCUACAUAGAUUAUGACUUGAUCUACAUUGGCAAAUGUAAACCCCAUUUGGAUUCUUCUCUAAAUCUGUAUGAAAUCCUUACUUGUCUUCUUUUCAACUUACAGGCAUCAACUCUUUUAAGUUUUUCCUGGCCUACAAGGGGGCUCUCAUGAUCAAUGAUGAGCUUCUACUUGAGGGAUUAAAAAAAUGCAAGUCUCUUGGUGCUUUGGCCAUGGUACAUGCUGAAAAUGGAGAUGCUGUAUUUGAAGGGCAGAAAAGAAUGAUAGAACUUGGCAUUACUGGUCCAGAGGGACAUGCACUUUCAAGGCCACCCGUGGUAAUUCCUUAAAGAUGUCCAUUUUUUCUUUGACCCUGUAUUGCCCUCUGGUGUUGCACUUAUAGUAUUUUACAUCAUUAAACCUAUUUUUGAACUUUUGCAAUGGGGAAUCCAUGAUCAGCUAGUACCCUGGAUGAGUAUCCUCACCAUUGAAAGCUCUCCUUCGUUCAAACUUUUCAUUUUACCAUAUCAUUUUGUUGUACCAUGUAUGGUUGAAUUUUUGCAAUGAAUAAUAACCUAGAUUUGGAGUUCUUAGGAUCUUUCUCUCUCUCUCUCUCUCUCUCUCUCUUUCUAUCUCUCCUUUUAAUUUUGUUUUUAAAUUUUUUUAUUUUGUUUUUUUGUUUUUUUGUUUUUUGUUUUUUUUUUUUUGAUGAAUCUUGAAAGAUUUACUAAACCAAAAAUAAUGUGGAGAGAAAUACAAACAUGGGCAUUCAUUUAUUUUCUCUCUUUUCAUUCUUUUGCUUCUCUAGCAUAUUUCAGACACAUGCUGUAGGACAGAGUAUUCUGGUGGGGGAUGCAUGUCAAAGAGAUGGUAGAGAAUGUAACAUAUUAACAUAAUCCCUUGACAAGUUUACUUGUAAUGGCUUUCGGGGAGCUAGUGUUUACUGAAAUCAUUGUAUAGUAAGGAUAUUCUUUUAGUAGUUAAUACUUACUAAUUUCAGUAAACCAUAUAAGAUUAUUCCUCAGUGAAUCACUCUUUAUUCUGUUGUUCUUCUAAUUGUCUGACAGUUCUUUCCGUUUAUUUCCUGGACGUCAUGCUUUUAUAUAAUCUGUCUUUUUUUUGGCCCUUAUGCAGCUAGAAGGAGAGGCAACUGCUAGAGCUAUUCGGUUGGCCAGUUUUGUUAACACGCCUCUCUAUGUAGUUCAUGUGAUGAGCAUUGAUGCGAUGGAAGAAAUAGCUAAAGCUCGAAAAUCAGGUUUUUUUAACUCUUAUAUUUACAUUACGUGUUUGUUGUGUUAAAUUUACACCACCAUGGAGCAAAAUCUCAUGUUAUUCUUAAUUUUAUAUAAGUUCUAUCUUAAAGAUACAACCUUCUUUUAUUUUAUUUUUGGUUUUUUAGUAAUAACUUUUUGGUUCAUCGAUAUUUUGAUAUUAUAUUUGUCAGAAAAUUGGAAGUAGUAACAAGUUAACUCCAAUACUGUUUAUGUGGCUGAGUGAGAGAGAGAAUGUCUGAAAAGGUCCUGAUCUUUAUCAAAAAAGGUCUGGGCUUCCCCUAUCUUUAACAAAUGGUUCCCAACCACUUGAAAAUUCCAACUUUAUCCUUUAUUUUAUUUUUGGCUAUUUUAGUUUAUAUAUCUAUCUAUUUGUCUAUCUAUCUAUCUAUCUAUCUAUCUAUAUAUAUAUAUAUAUAUAUAUAUAUAUAUAAAUUUCAAUGGAAGGAAUAUCUUACAGUGUUAAAUUUCUCAAUAGAAAGCCUUGUAGUAGGGUAAAUAUCUUGUUAGUUGGAAGUCUUAUAAUCAUAUGGUUUACUUAGGAUUUGAGGACUGGUUUUUUUUAUUUUUUUUAUUUUUAUCAGAAACGAAGAAAAAUAUAUUAAUAGAAGAAAAGAUACAGGAAAAAGAAAAGUUACAAAAGAAAGAGAAGAAAACAAGGGAAGGAUGAGAGGUCCUUCCUACACAAAUUGAACAAAGGAGAAAACUCCCAACAAUAGAACUCUAAAAACAAAGAGAAACCCCACAUUCUUCAAACUUUUGAAGCACAAACCGCAAUCCAGUUGAGUUGUAAAACACUUAGAGGAACUCUUCUAAAAGCUUCAGUACAAGAAGCCCAUAGAGAAGAAUAGAACCGAAUCAAAUCCCAUAACAUCUCUUUCGUUCUCCCUUUAUCCUCAAAGAUCCUAUUGUUCCUCUCUUGCCACACCAUCCAAAUCAAGAUAAGGCAAGUGAUUUGCCAAAGUGUCUUGCCUCUUAAUGAGUUCCCCAAGCCUUUAAAAGUAAUAACCAACAUGUCCUCAAAACUCCUUGGAGGGACCCAAACCAACCCUGUUAGAUUGAACAACUUGUGCUAGAGUCCAAUGGUAACAGGACAAUGAAGAAAAAGGUGAUCAAUUGACUCUCCAUUACCUUUGCAAAGAAUGCACCAUUGAGGAUAGAGGGAUUCAUAGGGUCUUCUCAAUUGCAACUUAUCAUUGGUGUUUACCUUCCCAUGUGCUACUAACCAAGCGAGGGCCUUAACCUUUGAAGGGGCUUUUGAACUCCACAAGAACUUGGCCGGAAGGAACAAGAUAGGACUUGAGACUUUUGACAAGGCCAAGAGAAAAGAUUUCAUUGAAAACAAUCCUGACGAAGACAAAGACCACGCUCUAGAAUCUACCAAAGAAGGAGAGAAAAACACAGAACUAAGAGAGGACAUUAAUCUCUGAAGGAGAUCAAUUUCUGAUUCUGUAAGAUUGCGGCAAAAGUUAAAAUUCCAAGACAGUGGAAAUGAAUUGCCAAGGACAUUUGAGACAGUGAGGUUUUUCGCAGAAAUAACUUUGUAAAGAUCAACAAAUUGAGAACACAAAGUUUGUUUACCCCACUAGAGAUCUUCCAAAAAACGAAUUCUCUCCCCAUUGCCCACCACUAGGCGGACAAAAGGGGAAAAAAACCUGGAAAACUUGAGCAAUAGCCUUCCAAGGACAUCUGUGUGACCAUCUAACCACCAUGUUGGCGUCCCAUCCAUUAGGAUGUGUCCCAUAUAUACUCGCAAUAACCUUAUGCCAAAGACUACUCCUUUCUCUAGGGAACCUCCAAAGCCAUUUCCCUAAGAGAGCAAUAUUUCUCAUAGAAGUCUUCCCAAAACCCAAACCUCCUAACUCCUUUGGUCUACUAACAAUCUCCCAUCUGAUAAGAUGAUCUUUCUUCCCUUCUUUCGUCCCAGACCAAAGAAAAUCCCUUUGCAUCUUCUCAAUCUUUGAAGCUAUUGAUACUGGGAUUUUAAAGAGGGAGAGGAAGUAGCUAGGGAUGUGAGACAGAUAAGACUGAAUUAAAGUAAUCCUCCCUCCCAAAGACAAAAAGGCCUUUUUCCAACCAUCCAGCCUCCUCGAAAUUCUCUUGACCACUGGAUCCCAAAAGCCUAUUAUCGUUGGGUUCCCUUCCAAUGGAAGGACUAAAUAAGACAAAGGCCACUUUGACACUCUGCAAUCCAAAACUGAGGCCAAACUAGACAACAACUCCUGCCUAGUGUUAAAACCUGAAAUGAUGUUUUUUUCUAAGUUGAUUUUUAAACCAGAUACUUGCCCAAAAACCACAAGGAUAAUCUUGAGGUUUUGAAGAUGUUCCAUAGAGGUUUUAGAGAAAAAGAUAGUGUCAUUAGCAAACUGUAGCAAAGACACUCUAGUCCUAUCCCUCCCCACAAAGAAACCCUCAGUUAUCCCAAUUUCCUCUGCUCUGAUCAUCAACCUACUUAGAACAUUUGCCACCAGAGUAAAAAGGAAAGGAGAAAGGGGGUCUCCUUGUCUCAAACCUCUAGAGGCCUUAACCCAACCCUUUGCAUUCCCAUUAACUAGGAUUGCAAAACUUGAUGAAGACAAACAACCCCUUAUCCAAGAUCUCUAUUUUUGACUGAACCCCUUCCUUUGUAGCACAUGAUCUAAAAAGACCCAAUCCACAUGAUCAUAGGCCUUCUCAAAAUCGAUUUUGAAGACUACCCCUAGCCUUUUUUUUCUCAUCCACCACUUCAUUGGCUAUCAACACAGCAUCCAGAAUGUGUCUCCCUUCAAUAAAGGCUCCUUGAGAGCCAAAGAUUGUUUCAUGAAGAAUUUUGCGUAAACGUCCUGAUAAGACCUUAGCAAUUAUCUUAUAUAAACUUGUAACCAAGCUAAUAGGUCUAUAAUCUGAGAUUUUAAAAGUUUGGCUUUUCUUAGGCACUAUAGCAAUGAAUGUCGCAUUUGUACUUUGAUUUAUUACCCCCUUGGUGUGGAACUCAAGAAACACCCUGAUAAGAUCCUCUUUUAUCACAUCCCAACACUCUUGAUAAACUACUAUAGUAAAGCCAUCAGGACUAGGGGCCUUUUCCUUAUUCAAUUGGAAAAUUGCCAUUUGUACCUCCUCUUCAGAAAAAGGCCUAUCCAGCCAGAUUGCACUCUCUCUAGAAAUAGGGACCCAAUCAAUUCCUUCAAUCCUCCAAGAAUCACCUUCAGGUUUGGAAUAGAGUUUCCCAAAAAAAUUUACAAUCUCCUCAGAGAUAACCUCAAUGUUACUUAAAGUCUCCCCCUUCUCAGAAAUUAGAGACUUAAUGAACUUCGUGCUUCUUCUUCCAGUGGUCAUUCUGUGAAAGAACUUAGAGUUGCAAUCCCCUUCUUUAAUCCAAUACAAUACAAGAGACAUUCAAAAUUUCAGAAUGGAAGAAGGCAGUACAAGAUGAGAUUGAUGCACUUGAGAAGAAUGGGACAUGGACUAUCAUAGAUUUGCCGGUUGUGAAGAGGCCCGUGGGGUGCAAGUGGAUUUUCACCAUAAAAUACAAAGCUGAUGGAUCAGUCGAGAGAUUCAAGGCUCGUUUGGUAGCUAGAGGGUUUACACAGUCCUAUGGGAUAAACUAUCAGGAGACUUUUGCUCUUGUUGCAAAACUGAACACUAUCAGGAUUCUUCUCUCGUUGGCUAUCAAUCAAGAUUGGUGCUUGCAACAACUGGACAUAAAAAAUGCGUUUCUAAAUGGUGACCUAGAAGAGGAAGUCUACAUGGAAAUACCACCUGGUUUCGAAGGAAGUAUGGUAAAGAAUCAGGUUUGCAAACUCCAAAAAUCCUUGUACGGCCUUAAACAAUCUCCCCGAGCCUGGUUUGAUAGAUUCACAAAGGCAGUCUUGAAGCCGGGCUACAAACAAGGUCAGGCUGAUUAUACUUUAUUUGUCAAGAAGUCUCAUGCUGGGAAAAUGACCAUAUUGAUAGUCUAUGUCGAUGAUAUUAUUCUAUCUGGGAAUGAUAUGGAGGAAUUACAGAAUUUGAAGAAGUAUUUGUCAGAAGAGUUUGAAGUUAAAGACCUUGGAAAUUUGAAAUAUUUCCUUGGUAUGGAAGUGGCUAGAUCAAGGAAGGGAAUUGUAGUCUCUCAAAGAAAAUACAUACUUGAUCUUCUUAAGGAGACCGGUAUGCUUGGAUGCAAACCAAUUGAUACUCCUAUGGAUAGUCAAAAGAAACUUGGUAUCGAGAAAGAGAGUACACCGGUAGACCNNNNNNNNNNNNNNNNNNNNNNNNNNNNNNNNNNNNNNNNNNNNNNNNNNNNNNNNNNNNNNNNNNNNNNNNNNNNNNNNNNNNNNNNNNNNNNNNNNNNGAAACUUGGUAUCGAGAAAGAGAGUACACCGGUAGACAGGGGGAGAUAUCAACGACUCGUCGGGCGCUUGAUUUAUCUCUCACACACUCGGCCAGAUAUUGGCUUUGCAGUGAGUGCUGUAAGUCAAUUCAUGCACAGCCCCACUGAGGAACACAUGGAAGCAGUCUACAGGAUUCUUAGAUAUUUAAAAAUGACACCAGGGAAAGGUCUAUUCUUUAGAAAGACAGAGAAUCGUGACACUGAAGUAUACUCAGAUGCGGAUUGGGCAGGAAACAUCAUUGACAGGCGGUCCACUUCUGGAUACUGUUCUUUUGUCUGGGGAAAUCUUGUUACCUGGAGGAGUAAGAAGCAAUCAAUUGUAGCCAGAAAUAGUGCAGAAGCUGAGUACAGAGCUCUAGCACAGGGAAUCUGUGAAGGGAUUUGGAUAAAAAGGGUUCUUAGUGAACUGGGACAAACGAGUUCAUCUCCGAUUCUGAUGAUGUGUGAUAAUCAGGCAGCUAUAAGCAUAGCAAAGAACCCCGUGCAUCAUGACAGGACCAAGCACGUUGAGAUUGACAAACACUUCAUCACAGAGAAGGUGACUAGUGAGACGGUUAAAUUGAACUACGUUCCUACCAAGCACCAAACCGCA